rnacentral:lncRNA from 1 species
UGCCAAUCAUCUAAUCCUUUCACACUUUCAUUCUUUCUUUGAUCAUUUUCUAAGCUCAAAAAUCAUCAUCAUGGGUGUCUUCACAUACACAGACGAGUCCACCUCAGUCAUCCCCCCACCAAGAUUGUUCAAAGCCCUUGUUCUUGAAGCUGACACCCUCAUCCCCAAGAUUGCUCCCCAAUCAGUGAAAAGUGCUGAAAUUGUUGAAGGAGAUGGAGGUGUUGGAACCAUCAAGAAGAUUAGCUUUGGUGAAGGUUGGUUUCUGCCAUUGCCUCUUCUAAGUUUAACUUGUUUGCCUAAUUAAUGACAUAAAUCUUGAAAGCAUUAAUCUCUUAAUUUAUAAUUAUAAUCCUCAUUUUACAGGAAGUCAUUACAGCUAUGUGAAGCACCGGAUCGACGGGCUUGACAAAGAUAACUUUGUGUACAGCUACAGUUUGGUUGAAGGAGAUGCUCUUUCAGACAAGGUUGAGAAAAUCAGUUAUGAGAUUAAGUUGGUGGCAUCUGCUGAUGGAGGUUCCAUCAUAAAGAGCAGCAGCAACUACCACACCACAGGGGAUGUUGAGAUCAAGGAAGAGGAUGUUAAGGCUGGCAAAGAGAAGGCCACUGGUCUGUUCAAGCUCAUUGAGAACUACCUUGUGGCCAACCCAGAUGCCUACAACUAAAACCUUAAACGAAAUAUACUGCAUGUGCUUUCUCUGUCAUUAUAUUGGUGUGGCUUUCAUUUUUCCUUUCCUUUUUGUUGUCUAUCAAGCCAGAGCUGCUUUGGCUUGCACCCAAGGCUAUGAUAAAUUGUAAUUUUUCUAUUUGAUUUGAUUCUAAAUAAAUAAAGCAAAAAUCAGUUGCUGGUCUUUACAAAUUUGGUCUGCAGUAUCUUUUUUUUCUUCAAUUUCAUGAAUUUAUAUAUAUUUUUUUUUACAAAUGAAAAUUUACUAGUGCAAAGUAAAGAUUCGAUAAAAUUGGAAUGAUAAGGAUGAAACACAUAAAUCGAGAAAUGGCCCUUUGGUUUGGUCAAGGUUUUUGAGAAGUAUCAUUUGGCCCUGAUGCCUACAAGUAAAACUAUCUGUCACAGUACUGCUUGUAAAGAGCAACAAAAGUCUUGUGUCCUCUUUUUCUAAAUUCAUUCAUUGGUGCAGCUUUCAUUUCUAUGAUGAGUGUGUAUUUAUUUGAAUUCAAUCUUUAUAAUUAAAGGAACAUCAUUUGCUAAUUAUUUGAUUCCGCUAAUUAAAGUGACUCAGUCUAUUUGCAUGUCUAAAAUGUUGAAAAAAAAAAAAAACUAAAAAAAAAAGAAAAAGAAAAAGAAAAAGACAUUGCAAAGAAUCAUAUCUUCAACAUGAUCAGUCCUGAGUCUAUUUGCAUGUCUUAAAUGUUGGUCAAUCCUCCUCAGUCUGACCAUAACCAAUCAAUCUUAAAUUUCAAAUCAACCGCCACGAUUUCUUACACUAUAGUAUGUGUGAGUUUAAUAUGUUAUCGCCCCUUUUAAUACGAAAGGUCUUUAAAAAAAAAAAAAAACCAGCCAUUUCCAAUUUUCCAUUGUUUGGAAUGGCACUCAGCCGCGUUCUUGCUAUCUGUCGCCGCAAAUGCCCAGCAAGUUGCUAGUGAGAAUUGGUAAACAUAAUUAGCUAGUUGUUGGGCAUAACGAUUGCGGACAACGUAGCAGAUAUCCACAAUAUGAAGAUUCACGACACUGUUUUCAUUAAUGUCUGUUUGGGCCAAAAUUAUGCACGCCAGCCUAUUUUUUGGUCAAAAGGCCAUGAACGAAACAUUUUGGGCUUUUAUCUAGGGGAAUUAGAAAUCAAACCAAGAAGCUAAAUGAAGCCUAGGCCUUUUCAGCAGAUUGUGAAUAUAGCCCUAGUCUAAAAAUAUAAAAGAACCAUUAUUGGCCACUCACUCUACCCAAGGAAAAAGCAAGUCAGCAGAUCUUUCUAAAAAUAGGUUUCUCUCAAAAAAUCCCACGCGACUUUCUGACUUAGAAAAAGUCAAAAUUUUCAACUAUCACAGAGGAGGUGAUAGGGAGUUAAUGAAGGUAGGUCUUACAUGAGGAUUUCUCCAUUCUUUCUGCAGCCAAGGAAAGAAGAUCAAAUCCCAUUUUUUAUAUACAGAGAAACUCUGCACCAAAGCAGAUGACCUUUCCAAGAGAUAAGCAGACUACGUUUUCAAGAGAUAAGUAGGGAGCAAGGAGGUUGCGCACCAAGAAAAGCAAACUGACCAUCAUAGCAGAUUGUGUUUUUACAAGUAACAAACAAAGAACAAAAAGAGUUCGUUUUCUCUAAGAAAAAAGUAAGGAAAAGAUCACCAUCGGAACUGACUAUUGAUGGUUCUUCUCUACCAAAAAAAUAACUUACUUUUUUUUUUGGGUGCAUUUAAAAGAAAGAUAUUUUGAAAGAUCUGCCGCCCAUUAUUUAAAGAUUAAAAACCCCACUUCAGCAUUUCCUAUAAAUAUGAGAGGAGGUGAACAGAUCAAAUGACAGCCAAAAAAUCAAUCAAGACAAAAACUCUCAACGUCACAACUGACAAACUCAAAAAGAUCAACUAAUCUCAAAAGUUUUCAGACACUGAAACAACCAAAGUUCUUUGAUCCACAAGAAACAAAUCAGCUAGAAUUCAAAUCUUUGAUUUCAGUUCAGUUCAGAGAAAUAGUUUUACAAAGCGAGACUUUUCUCGUUACAAAUUUGGUUCAGCACAAGCCAAGUCAAGCAGAGUCCACGUUUUUAUAAAUAUGAAAAUCUUAACAAAUUUAUAGAAAGCCUUGGUCAAGCAGAAUAGGUAUGUAACACCCCGACUCCCCCUUAUUUAAUUUAUUUAAUUAUUUAAGGGCAUUUUGGUCAUAUUUUUAACCGGAGAGAGUUUGGGGCAGUGAUCAGUAUUUUUGGAUAGGUCGUACUGAGACGAGUUCAUAGACACGUAGUGGGCUCGAAUCAGAGUUGUAACGAGAGAGAUAUGGUCAAAAGAAACCCAGUGGCACAAUCGUAAUUAUUUCGAAAUGGGAUAUUUUACAAAAAUCAGAUUUUUUUUAUCUCUCUCUCUCUCCCUCCUGCGAGCUCUCUCCCUCUCUCCCGUCGGUCUCUCUCUCUCUCUCUCUCUCUUCGUAUCUCCGGCCACCGGCCUCGGCUGCGGACGGGACCGGUGCCAAAAGGACCGGCUCGGCCUCGGCGUCACGACCCAGCCCUCCCCCGACAUUGGCCGCCGCUCCAGCCGCCGAAAAAUGGCGAUUUUCGCCCCGUUGUCGCCCGAACUUCGCCGGCUCCGAUCUCCCUCCUCCGGCCGCCAUUUCUGGCGAUCAAGGUAUGGAAAUUCAUCCCUUUUGCAUGCUCUAGCUGCCUGUUGGGUAGGAUUGGAUCGAUUCUUAGCGUAGCCAAUUCGAUUUUCGAAUUGAAAUUCGGCCAGUUUUGGGAUCACGAUUUCGGCCACUUCCGUUCAGUUUUUGAGGUAGGUCCAAGAACAAAAGUGACUCCAAAUAGGGUGUUAUACCUAGGGUAGGAGUUUGGAGCCGUGGUUUUGAGAUUUUCCGGCGAAGCUUUAUCGCUUUGGGCACCCACGCACUGCCGGCGCGUGCGGCGGCGCGUGGGCACUGUAGAAAAAGUGACACUGUGUCUUGAUGAGAUCCUUAGGUUGUCACGAGUGCGUAGGAUUUUGCGGAUCUCAAUUCGGACGUCGUUUGACUAUCGAACGGACGAUCGCAUAUUGUGUGUUAUCCAGGUUCGAUAGGUUGGGACCGUUGGAUGGUCCCAAAUUUAAUAUAUGUUAAUCUAGGUAUUUCUAGGAUCGUGUAGGAAUUUACGGAUUGUGAAUCGGAGCCCCGGAUAUUCCGAAUAAUAAUUUAAAGUUUAUAUUCCAUAUUAACCGUCAGAUCGUACGAUCGUGAGCGAUCCGACCGUCCGAUCCAAACCAAAUUUGUAGGACGAGUGUCCUAUAUCUUAUAGAACCCAUAGGGACUUUCGGAUCGGAAAUCGGAGGUCGUAAGCUCCUCAGGUCCGUUUGACCAGGGUUAGGGUAGUUUGACCCUUGGUUGACCGCGAGUAUCCCGGAGUAAUCUCACCUUUCCAGGGGGGAUUUUCGGGCGUUAGACUAGUGUGGAGGGUUACACAAUAUUAGAAUUAAUAUAUAUAAUUAUAAUUAUAUAUGUUUGUACAAGGGUACAAAAGAGUCUAGAAUGUCAGUUUGGAGUGCUAUACGCACUACCUUAGGUACCUCCCCGGAUUUUGGUUACACUACAAGUACCACCAAGUGAAAGUUAGGUCCCACGUGGUGUAGGUUAUCCGGCGUGCGGACAGGCCCCAUACGUGGCUUUGGUUGUACCGGCGUAUGGGGAGAUGUGAUAUGAUGUUCAGGUCUCACGUGGCGUAGGUUAUCCGGCGUGGAGACAGGCCCCAUACGUGGCGUUGGUUGUACCGGCAUAUGGGGAGAUUAUGUAUAUUGUGUUGAGGUCGCACGUGGCGUAGGUUAUCCGGUGUGUCGACAGACCUCAUACGUGGCGUUGGUUGUACCGGCGUAUGGGGAGAUGUGAUAUGAUGUGCAGGUCUCGCGUGGCGUAGGUUAUCCGGCGUUGAGACAGACCCCAUACGUGGCUUUGGUUGUACCACCGCACAGGGCCCUCGAUUCUUAAGGACCCCCCGAAAAAAAUUUCUUUAUAGUAUAUAUAUUAAUAUUAUAGGAAUUGUAUAUAUAGUAUAGCGUGCCAGACAUUUGCACAAGGACAUGUCUGGUGGAGUUGGCUCCAGCGCUUCUCCAUUUAACGUAGCGCCAGAGUUCAAUUCUUGCUGAAGUCGGUCUAUAUGCUGUUUUUAUAUUAUUUUUGCAUUAUAACUAAAAACUUUACAUAAUUAAUAAAUAAAUAAAUAAAUGAAAAACCAAAAAACCCUUGAAAUAAAAAAAAAAAAAAAUAUAUAUAUAUAUAUAUAUAUAUAUAUAUAGGCUUACAUUAUUUUCUCAGAUUCUGGUAAAAAUCAGAAACAUAAUUUAAGGAUCCUAAAAACUUUUGGAGUUGACUUUUAUUAAGAAUUUGAUCGGGAAACUUAUCAGCAAACUGAAUAACUCGAUCAAUUGGGGAGAUUUGCGACUGGCAUAUAUUGAAACCAAGAAAACGGACAUUGGUUUAGAACAACUUGAUCUUUUUGGCAGAAACAACUAGACCAUUCUUUUUGAUAACCUGAAAGAAAGUAUGCAAAUGCUUCCAAUGUUGUUCUAUGGACUCAGAAAAGAUGAGGACAUCAUCAAUGUAGACAAUUGAAAACUGGCUGCAAGGAUUGAAUAUAUCAUUCAUAAUAUUCUGGAAUUCACUAGGGGCAUUUUUCAAACCAAAGGGCAUUACAUUCCAUUCAUAAUGGCCGAAAGGGGUGACAAAUGCAGUUUUAUAUCUAUCUGACUCUUCUAUUUGGAUUUGCCAGAAGCCACUCUUCAUAUCAAAUUUGGAGUAAACAACUGCUUUUUCUAAUCGAUUAAUGAGGUCUCUUUUAUUAGGUAUGGGGUACCUAAUCCAUUCUAGAACUGCAUUAAGUGGCUCAUAGUUGAAAACUCAUCUGAGUCUGAUUCCAGUCAUAUUUCAGAAAUAGAAAGAGCUUUUAAAAAUUUAGAGAUCCAAGUUGAACCCAGGGUCAAAAGAUUAGAAAAACAUAUAAGCCCCGCUAGUUUGACCAAAAAUUGGUAUCCUCGACCCACACCUCCAGACAUUCAAUUUGAAGAAAGAAACUUUCAAACCCAGUUUUCGGUUUCUUCUGAUAAAUUGUAUGAAUGGAAUAUUGAUGGUCUUUCUGAGCAAGAGAUCCUGAAUAAGUUACAACAUAUGUCCAUGGUUGCCAAUAGUUUUAUCACUAAUCACAGUUUCAGACAGUCUGAAAUUGUUCCUUUGUUAGUUACUGGUUUUACUGGUACUCUCAGAUAUUGGUAGGAUAAACAUUUAACCCCUGAGUCUAAAAGCCGAAUCACUUUUGCUGUAAGACUUAAUGAAGACGGUCUGCCUAUAUUUGACGAACAAAUAGGUCAAGGUAUAGAAGACGGAGUCAACACUUUGUUUUACACAAUAAUUGAACAUUUCAUAGGAACUCCUAGUAACACCACUGCUAGGAUUCAUGAUCAGUUAAGUAACCUCAGAUGCCCUAAGUUGUCAGAUUUCAGAUGGUACAAAGAUGUCUUCAUUUAUAGAGUCAUGCUUAGAGAUGAUAGUAAUCAACCCUUCUGGAAAGAAAAAUUCGUUAAUGGUCUUCCCAAUUUAUUUGCCCAUAAAAUCCGAACUACCCUCAGUAAUGAACAAGGUCAUAUUGAUUGGGAUAGUUUAACUUAUGGAAAUAUUAUAAGCACAAUUAAUCAAGUUGGCAUGAAAAUGUGUGUCGAUUACAAAAUUGGUAAACAAAUACAGUCCGAUAGAAAAUCUGCCAAAUAUGAAUUAGGAAACUUCUGUGAACAAUAUGGUCUUAGUAGUAUUCCUCCCUCCAGGAAAAGUAAGCCGAGUCACCUUAGAAAGAGCCGGUUUUAUUCCAAAAGAAAACAAUUCCCCAAAAACGGAAAAGCUUUAAAAAGAAAAAUUGGUCAAAAACCCCCAGAGAUCCUAAAAAGAAUCGGCCCAAGAAUGAUAAGACCAAAGUUAAAUGCUUUAAAUGUCAGAAAUUCGGUCAUUAUGCUUCUGAGUGCAAAAUAAAAGAUACUAUUAAACAGUUGCAGAUUGCAGAAGAAGAGAAAGAAAAAUUAAUCCAAGUUUUAGAGUUGCGAGACUCUGAAACAAGUAGCCCUGAAACCCUAGUUGCCAGUUCUGGAUCAGAUUCUGAACAGUUUUCAGACUCCCAGCUUAGUUCCCCAGAUAUUCAAUUUGGUUGCAUAGAUAAAUGUUGUAAUCAAUUAAAAUCUAUUUCUGUCCUCACCAAACAAGAAAAGCAAGAAGAGUUAUUAAUUGAUCUAAUCAGCCGAGUUGAAAACCCUGAGUUAAAAUCAGAAUAUUUAAAGAAAUUAAGAAAAGUGAUCAAUCAAGAAAAUCCGAGUAGUCAUUCCAAGCCCUAAACAAUUAGUUUAAACACCACUAUAGAAAAAUUUGCCCAGAAAAAGAAAGAAAUCACUUUACAAGACCUCCAAUCAGAAGUCAAAUUAGUUAAAAAAGAAUUAGUUGAAUUAAGACAGAUUAGUAAUCAGUUGCAAGUUGAAAAUCAUACAAUCAAACAAGACUUAACUAGUCUUAGAAAAGGCAAAACCCCGUUAGAACCCAGAAGUCCCUCAGUAAGCCCCGCUGAUUCUGAAGAAGAUACUCCUAAUCCACCAGUUGUCAAUUUAAUUAAGCAAGUUAAUUUCAGAAAAUGGUACUCAAAAGUUACGAUAUUCGUCCAAGAUUUUGAGUUCACCACAGUUGCCUUAUUUGAUUCAGGAGCCGAUCUUAAUUGUAUUCAAGAAGGUCUCAUUCCCACCAAGUAUUACCAAAAGUCUAGAGAGAAUUUGAGCACUGCCUCUGGAAAAUCUCUACAGUUGAAUUAUGAAUUACCAAAAGCCCAUAUCUGCCAAAACAAAGUUUGCUUUAAAACUUCGUUUGUCUUAGUUAAAAAUAUUACAGACGAGGUCAUCCUAGGAUUACCAUUCAUAAGUUUACUUUAUCCUUUCCAGGUAGAAUAUGAUGGUGUCAUCUCUACCCAGUUAGGAGAAAAAGUUAAAUUUAAUUUCCUUUCUAAACCCGAGUUGCAUAAUCUAAAAGCCCUACAAAAACAAUCUGUUUCUAAGUCAAUCCAAGUUAUUCGGAAAACUUGUCAGUUGAAUUUCCUCAAAGAAGAAAUUAGGAUUAAAAGAACUAAGCAACAACUUGCUAGUCCUUCUUUACAAUUGCAAAUUCAGAAAUUUGAACAAAAAAUUAAAAAUGAAAUUUGCUCUGAGUUGCCUAAUGCUUUUUGGUAUCGAAAACAGCAUGUUGUCUGUCUUCCUUAUAUCAAAACUUUUAGUGAGAAAAACAUUCCCACUAAAGCCCGACCAAUUCAAAUGAGUCAAGACAUGAUGGAAUUCUAUAAGAAAGAAAUUGAUGAAUUGCUUCAAAAGAAAAUAAUCCGCAAAAGUAAGUCUCCUUGGUCUUGUCCUGCUUUUUAUGUCCAGAAAAAUGCUGAACUAGAAAGAGGAGUCCCAAGAUUAGUUAUCAAUUAUAAGCCACUUAAUGCAGUUCUAGAAUGGAUUAGGUACCCCAUACCUAAUAAAAGAGACCUCAUUAAUCGAUUAGAAAAAGCAGUUGUUUACUCCAAAUUUGAUAUGAAGAGUGGCUUCUGGCAAAUCCAAAUAGAAGAGUCAGAUAGAUAUAAAACUGCAUUUGUCACCCCUUUCAGUCAUUAUGAAUGGAAUGUAAUGCCCUUUGGUUUGAAAAAUGCCCCUAGUGAAUUCCAGAACAUUAUGAAUGAUAUAUUCAAUCCUUACAGCCAGUUUUCAAUUGUCUACGUUGAUGAUGUCCUCAUCUUUUCUGAGUCCAUAGAACAACAUUGGAAGCAUCUGCAUAAGUUCUUUCAUGUUAUUAAACAAAAUGGUCUAGUUGUUUCUGCCAAAAAGAUCAAGUUGUUCCAAACCAAUGUCCGUUUUCUUGGUUUCAAUAUAUGCCAGUCGCAAAUCUCCCCAAUUGAUCGAGUUAUUCAGUUUGCUGAUAAGUUUCCUGAUCAAAUUCUUGAUAAAAGUCAGCUCCAAAGAUUUUUAGGAUCCUUAAAUUAUAUUUCUGAUUUUUACCAGAAUCUGAGAAAACAAUGUAAGCCUCUAUUUGAUAGACUACAGAAUAAUCCUCCUCCAUGGUCUUCUAUUCGUACCGAAGUUGUUAAACAAAUCAAAGCUCAUGUCAAGACACUUUCCUGUCUUGGUAUUCCUUCAGUUAACUCUUCCAAAAUAGUUGAAACUGAUGCCUCUGAUAUUGGAUACGGUGGCAUUCUCAAACAGAAAAUUGGUCCUAAUUCUCCAGAACAAAUUGUUCGUUUUCAUUCUGGAACAUGGACUCAGUCGCAACAUAAUUAUAGUACUAUUAAAAAAGAAAUAUUAGCUAUUGUAUUAUGCAUUAGUAAAUUUCAAGAUGAUUUACUUAACCAAAAGUUUUUAAUCCGAGUUGAUUGUAAGUCUGCAAAACAUGUUUUAGAAAAAGAUGUUCAAAACAUUGCAUCUAAACAGAUUUUUGCACGAUGGCAAAGUAUUUUAAGUAUAUUUGAUUUUGAUAUUGAAUAUUUAAGAGGAAGUGAAAAUUCUGUGCCUGAUUUUCUCACUCGAGAAUUCUUGCAGGAUGCACAAUGGCUCCCAAAAAAGACAAACAGAAAGAAUCAGCCAGCCAAUCUAAGCCAUCCCAGUCGCCCAAGUCAUCCCAGUCGCUCCGUAUCCUCCCUUCUUCCAUGAGUCAGCCAAAGCCAGACUUGCCCAAACAGAUAGUUCCCUAUCCCAGUUGCCCUCCUAUUUCAGUGGCCACACCAAUCUCAGUUGCUAAUAGAUUUUCUUCCCUUGGUUCAACAGUUGGUCAAGUUCGCCCCAAUUAUCAAUCCACUCUAGUUUCCAGUUAUGAUCCUUUCUCAGUUGAUAUUCAUGCAGGUCCCUCAAUCACUUACAAAAAAUCUUCCCCCUAUUUGCCCAAGAGUAAUUCGCAUUUAUUUGUUAUUGAGCCUCUGUAUGAUAUUCAUGCAGACCCCAUAGAAAUUGCCAAACACUACUUCCCUCCUGGAUUCCAUUAUAUGCCUCCAAGUCCUUAUAAGUCCCUCAAAUAUUAUAGAGAUAUAUUACUUGAAACACAAUCCGUUGAGAUUAAGCCGAUAAAGGAUCGGGAUCAUCCUGAAACCAUUCUUUAUCACUCCUUGUAUAUACACAAAAUUUUGAGUCAGGAAUCCUUCAGUAGCCGUCCUUAUGAGUUAAAAAUUUUGAAGUCAAAAUUACAAUAUAAUUAUUCUGAUUAUAUUGAAGCAUGGUAUACUAUUUUCCUUCACCAAUCUGAAGAUUUUAGUCAUUCCUGGUUUAUUAAUUUUGAUAACAAGUUCAAAUGUUCUUUCCCGUACUGGUUUCUCCACUGGUGGGAAAAAUAUGGCCCAGUUGACGAAAUUCUGCCUGUCUCAGUUCAUAAGUUGAUCCGCCACUGCACUAAGCAUGCCAAGUUCUCCCAAGUUGAUCUGUUCUUCCCAAAACAGUUGCUUUCCAUUGCCAGAUACAAGGUCCUUUGGAUUCUCAAAUGGUCUUAUAGAAUCACCAAGGAUGUCCGAGUUUUUGCCCGCCAAUUCUCUGUUAAAUGGUGGGAUAAAUUUGAAGUUGACCGAAUCGCCAAAUAUGUCUACAAUGAUCUUCCCCGUGAGCCUAUUCUGCGCCCAGCAUCUCCUAUAGGUUCAGUUCGAUCUUCCUUAUCUGUUGAGGGAAAAUCUAAAGCAGAACUCCAGGAAAUUGUGCGUCAGUUGAUUAUUCAGGCCUAUCAGAUGGAUGAUGAUGAGGACAAUGAUUCUCCCUCGUCGUCUAGUUGCCAGCCCAUGCAAAGCCCAGCUAAGCCAAAGACGUGGUAUGAAGACAGUCAAGAUCCCUAUGAUGCCUACGAUCUACAAUCUGAUUAGAGGUCAUCAUAGCAGGCGUGAUAAUUGUCCCAGUUGAACGCAUGCCCAAAAGCAGUCGCCGACAUCUCAAGUAUCUAGUGGAAGCAUCUUUUAAAGCAGCAGACAAAGCACUGUUUGCUUUAAUCAGAUCACCGAAAAGAAGCCGAAAGCAAGUUGAAACAAUCGCAUAUCUGUGCUCCUACAGUUGCCCGACAAAAUUAAAAGUUGAAACAGUUUGCAUAUCCGUGCUCCUACAGUUGCCCGAACCAUAGUUACCUCUUAUCUUAGUUACUCAAACCAUAGUUGAACAUUUUCUAUAAAUGCAGGCUUCGGCCUCAGUUGUAAGCACCGCUCAAUACAUCGCUCAAUUUUCAUUCAGUUUUUAAAGAUUCUCUCUGAAACACUCCUGGAGAAAUCACCCUUGUAAAUACUGUGUGAAGUUUGCAGUUGCAACCUCUGUGAGUAUAAAUAAAAGUUGCUAUUUUCUACUUAUUCCUAUUUUAAGUAAUUUCAUAUAAGCAUUAUCUUCUGCAUUAGUCUGAAUGUUGAGUUAAGUUGUUGCAUCUUAUUCGUUGUCUUCAUUUCAUUAUCUCCGUUGUUGGCUCUGAUACCUACAAUUGCAUCUUAAAAAUAUUCUACUCCUCUUUGUUGAAAUUAGCCUAUCACAACCGUAAGAUUUCAUCUCUAGAGGCACCCGCGCACAUCAAACAUCAUGUUUUUUCUAUUACCUAUCCAUGUAAGCUAUAACUUUAUAUUUGAACUUAAGAGCUUAGAAGUAAUAGGUCUCCUCCUCUUUAAAAUUGUAUCAACGUAUAUCCAAUGGGUUCUUUAAUAUUAGUAAGUUUCUCUCUUACUUUUUGUUUAAUUUCCAAUUUCAAUUGUUAUUGUUAGCUUUUUAUGAUUUAGAGUUUGGGUGUUAAAUUUUGGGAAUUUUUUUCUUAUGCAAUUUGCUAGGAUUUUAUUGACGACUCAUCAUUUUUCUGAUUUAAUCUAUUCAUUACUUGGUCUCUGCUUUUAUAUAGUCUAGUUAUCUCUUGGUUUUGUUGAAUGCUUGUAGCUUGUGAUUGUGCAAUUGUAGAUUUAUAUGACGGCACUCCCUACGUCUAUGUAUAUUCCCAUAAAAUUUAAAAAUUGUUAAUUGAAGAAUAGUUGCUACCACUCAUUUUCUUUGCACACAAAAAAAAACCUAUAGCCUAUAGCCAAUUACCCAUGUAAACCCCUUAUCAAAAAAACCAUGUAAACAUGUUUUUAAAAAGAAAAAAAAAAGGUAAAUCUCCCAUUAAAAGAUAUUAGUCCAACCUAUAAAAUUUCCCGAGUCCGCCCUUGUGCUCAGCCUCAUUUUAAAGCAUUUCAGUAUAAAAAUUUUUUGGGGGUUUUUCACGUUUAAGUGAAGAUAUGACUGCACCAGCGUCAUGUUGUCAAGAAAAUUGAUUCACUUAAAAUCUUAGCCUUCCUCAGUCAUUGUUAGUUUUGAAUUAAAAAAACAGUUUACUGUUAGUUGGUAACAAUUACUCAAAGGGGAAAACAGAAGUACUGAAAUUUAUGUUUUAUUUAUUUAUUGGGACUGAAAUUAAGUACAACAUUACUCUUCAAUCUUAACUCCAAAAGUGCAAUUCAAAUGAUAAAGAAGAAAAAAGAAUUGAAUGCCACAUUGCUGAAGAAACAGAGAAAACAGGACACAAGACUGUUGCCCCUAUAGAUGGUUUUAGUUGUAGGCAUCGGGGUUGGCCACAAGAUAGGUCUCAAUAAUCUUGAACAAAGCAUGGGCCUUCUCUUUGCCGGCCUUAACAUGCUCUUCCUUGAUCUCAACAUCACCUUUGGUGUGGUAGCUGCUGGUGUUCUUUAUUACUGAACCUCCAUCUGCAGAUGCCACCAACUUAAUCUCGUAAGAGAUUUUCUCUAUUUUGUCUGAAAGAGCAUCUCCUUCAAUCAAACUGUAGUUGUACACAAAGUUAUCUUUGUCAAGCGCGUCAACUUGGUGCUUCACGUAGCUGUAUUCACUUCCUGUAAUUUCAAAAUUUCAGGAUGGUUAAUGUCAAUCUUUUUAGAAAUUAUUACACUAAUGCUUUCAAGAUACAUAUUAACUUGAAAACCAAGUUAAUUAGUAGAGAGACAGACAAUGGUGGGAAGUAAACAAACCUUCACCAAAGCUAGUCUUCUUGAUGGUUCCAACACCUCCAUCUCCUUCAACAAUUUCAGCACUUUUAAUUGCUUGUGGAGCAAUCUUUGGGACUAGGUUGUCAGCAUCCAGAACAAGGGCUUUGAACAACCUAGCAGGAGGAACGACUGAGGUGAACUCGGUUGCGUAUGUGAAGACACCCAUGAUAGAUGAUGAUGAUGAUUUAAGAGCUUAGGAAAUGAUAAAAAAUAAGAAUGAAAUUCGAGGUAUUACUUGAUGUUGGAAGCUAUGAGCACUGGAGGUGGUAUUUAUAGGUUUAGGGUGAAGAGUCUGAUGUGUAAAGUGAGCCCAAUGGAUAUAAAGUUGAGUGGUUGUUUCCCAUGUGAAUAUUUUAGUCAAACAAAGCCACCUCUACAAGUUGAUUUUAAAAAUUCCAACUUAUUACAACUAGCUGGAAUUUUUUCAUAGAAUGUUCUGGUGUGCUGAGUUUGCUGACUCAAUAAUAUUCUCAUUCAAUCAACUGAAAAAUCUAACGUCCUUUUCACAUUCUUUUUCUUAUGGCCAACCCUGAUGCCUACAACAAAAACAAUCUAUGAGAUACUGCAUGUUACAAGCAACAGUAUGGUGUCCUGCUUUCUUUGUCGUUGGCUAAGGGUUGGCUUUUUUUUUUUUCUUCUGUCAAGCCAGAGCAGUCUUUGGCUUGCAUUUGGGGUUAUGAUAAAUUGUAGUAUUGUAUUUGAUCAAUCUCAAUUAAUAAAGCAAAAAUCAUUUAAUUAUAAUAUCAAAGGAAAGGGUAGAGAAUUUCGAAAUAUAACAAACUAAGGUCUCAACUUUUUUUAUUUAUAAAUAUUAUUAUUUUAAAAUUUAAACUACUAUAAUUUAUGAGAAGAGUAUCAUCUCGAGUGAAAAGGGCAGAACCAACCGGCUUAACCACGUGUACAUUGCGGUCUUUACUUUACAAUUUUGACAUUGACUUACGAAAAAGAAAUAUAAAGUAUAGACUUGACUUCAACUUGAUUAGAGCAGCAAGGUUGGUAAAGGAAAUUACUUGAAAAGAGAAGCCAUGGAAAGUCUAAAUUAGACGACAUGAUACGUCUAGGAAAGGGAUAGGGAGCCAAUCACAAUACACUAUUAUAUAAUCUCUGCAGUUGGAUCCUUAAGUGAGGUAAAAUAUGUAAUUAAUGAUGAUACACAAGGCAGAGUUGAAGCAGAUAUCUAUGUGAUUAGUCAACAAAAAGAGAUAAAGGAUGUAACUAAUCCUUCUUAAGUUGUUUUAGUUAUGAGUUGCUUGCAAUGCUUCUUUGAAUUUGAUCAUGAAAAGAGUCCAUGUGCAUUCAGAAUAGACUCUGCUUGUUAGACAGACAAGUUAAUUUUAGAACAUCCUGUUAGAAAUCAAGAUAUUAUUAAGUUAGCACACCCUCAUCCUGUUGGAAUAGUUGAAUUUUUCAAAUCAACAUCUACUGGAAGCUUUAUUUCCUUGACUAAAAUAUUGCUGUAUUUCAUUGAAAAUCAUAUUUUCCUUUUCACAUGGACAAGAACCAUUGGAAAAUUAUAAACUUGUCUAAAUUCCUUUAUUAAUGAAAGCCAUUUUACAAAUCUGGCCUUUCCCCAUUUACCUAUAAAUACCACCUCUGGUGCUCACACUUCCUCACACCAAUAUCAAACAUUCUCUUAGCUUCCUCACAUCUCAAUCUUUCUUUGAUCAUUUUCUAAGCUCUAAAAUCAUCACCAUGGGUGUCUUCACAUACUCAGACGAGUCCACCUCAGUCAUCCCCCCACCAAGAUUGUUCAAAGCCCUUGUUCUUGAAGCUGACACCCUCAUCCCCAAGAUUGCUCCCCAAUCAGUGAAAAGUGCUGAAAUUGUUGAAGGAGAUGGAGGUGUUGGAACCAUCAAGAAGAUUAGCUUUGGUGAAGGUUGGUUUCUGCCAUUGCCUCUUCUAAGUUUAACUUGUUUGCCUAAUUAAUAACAUAAAUCUUGAAAGUAUUAAUCUCUUAAUUUCUAAUUAUAAUCCUCCUUUUACAGGAAGUCAUUACAGCUAUGUGAAGCACCGGAUCGACGGGCUUGACAAAGAUAACUUUGUGUACAGCUACACUUUGGUUGAAGGCGAUGCUCUUUCAGACAAGGUUGAGAAAAUCAGUUAUGAGAUUAAGUUGGUGGCAUCUGCUGAUGGAGGUUCCAUCAUAAAGAGCAGCAGCAACUACCACACCGCAGGGGAUGUUGAGAUCAAGGAAGAGGAUGUUAAGGCUGGCAAAGAGAAGGCCACUGGUCUGUUCAAGCUCAUUGAGAACUACCUUGUGGCCAACCCAGAUGCCUACAACUAAAACCUUAAAUGAAAUAUACUGCAUGUGCUUUCUCUGUCAUUAUAUUGGUGUGGCUUUCAUUUUUCCUUUCCUUUUUGUUGUGUGUGGCCAAGGCCUUGCACUUGGAGGCCUUUGUUAUAUCAAAGUGUGACUGUUGUAUUUUUUUUUUUCAUUAAAUAAAGCAAAAAUCAGUUGCUGGUCUUUACAAAUUUGGUCUGUAGUAUUUUUUCUCUUCAAAUUAGUGAAUUUCAAAUUUUUUUUUUUACUAAUAAAAAUUUACUAGUGCAAAAUAAAGAUUUGAUAAAAUUGGAAUAAUAAGGAUGACAUGCAUAAAUCGAGAAAUGUCCCUUUGGUUUGGUCAAGGUUUUUGAGAAGUACCAUUUGGGGCAACCCAGAUGCCUUCAAUAAGUAAAACUAUCUGUCACAGUACUGCUUGUAAAGAGCAACAAAAGUCUUGUGUCCUCCUUUUCCAUCUUCAUUCAUUGGUGCAGCUUUCAUUUCUAUGAUGAGUGUGUAUUUAUUUGAAUUCAAUCUUUAUAAUUAAAGGAACAUCAUUUGCUAAUUAUUUGAUUCCGCUAAUUAAAGUGACUCAGUCUAUUUGCAUGUCUAAAAUGUACAAAUAAAAAACGAAUAAAAAAUAAAAUAAAAGUAAAAGACAUUGCAAAGAAUCAUAUCUUCAACAUGAUCAGUCCUCAGUCUAUUUGCAUGUCUAAAAUGUUGGUCAAUCCUCCUCAGUCUGACCAUAACUAACCAAUCAAUCUUAAUCAACGGUCCCGAUUUCUUUCAAUAUAUAUAUAUAUAUAUAUAUAUCCAGCCAUUAUCAAGUAUCAACUAAAGCCAGCCAUUUCCAAUUUUCCAUUGUUUGGAAUGGCACUCAGCCUGGUUCCUGCUACGCUAUUUGUGGCCGCUAAUGCCCAGCAAGUUGCUAGUGAGAAUUGAUAAACGCAAUUAGCUAGCUAGUUGUUGGGCAUAGCGGCUGCGGAUAACGUAGCAGAUAUCCACAAUAUGAAGAUUCACGACACUGUUUACAAUAAGAAUUUGGUUCCCGUUUGUCCAAUUCGCAGAUGCUCAGCCUCAUUUUAAAGCAUUUCGGUAUGAAAAAAUUUGGUUUUUCACAUGUUAGUCAAGAUAUGAUUGCACCAGCGUCAUGUUGUCAAACAGUCAUUGUUAGUUUUGAGUUUUGAGUUUUGAGUUUUGAUUAGAGAAAACUUCCAUUCAAACAGCAAAACAAUUGACUCUGACUGAUUAAAAAAACAGUUUACUAUUAGUUGGUAACAAUUACUCAAAUGAAUGUUUUAUGUUUUAUUGGGACUGAAAUUAAGUACAACAUUACUCUUCAAUCUUAACUCCAAAAGGACCACAAGCAAUUUAAGCCUGACAGCAUGAUACCAGUAAAGAAACAAAGACACCAAGGGCAAACACAAAAACUAACAUAAGCAAUAGUAGCCAAUAUGCCAUUCAUAGCCAACCCAAAAAUAAAGUGUCUCAUUGGGCAUUAAAAACCUUUCAUUUAAGUAUAUGAAGCACUGGAGAUCCUAUUAUCUUGUGAAGGCUAUCAAAUUAUUUUUGUUUGUUUCAUUUAUUGAAAUUGAACUACAUUACUCUUUAAUCUUAACUCCGAAGUGUAAGCCAAAGACUGCUUUGGCAUGAAAAAAAAAAAUUAAAAUGAAAAAUGAAAAGCCACAAUGUUGAAUGAUUAAUAGAGAGAUUGUUAGUUUUUUUUUUUUUUUUAUAAUAUUGGGUUGUCUCAAGAUUGUCUCCUACGUGAAUCGAACCCUGGUGCACUUAGUGGGUGCGCAGGAGAGUUUGGCCCACUUUUCUACCAUGGCUCUGUCAAAAUUAAUACUACGGCGCUCACAAAAGCGACUUCAGUAAAGCAGGUAGUGGUGGUGUGUUUCGCGAUUGUCAGGGCCAUGUUCUUGGGGCAUUUUCGGCCAAUUUAGAUGUUCCCUAGUGCAGUUCAUGCUGAAGUUUUAGCGGUCAUUAAGGCCAUUGAGCUUGCUUGGCUCCAUGCUUGGCAUAAUGUUUGGAUUGAAACUGAUUCGUUGUUAGUUACUAAAUUCUUUCGCUCUACACAUUUGGUCCCUUGGCUUCUACGAGUUGAUUGGCAAAUUGCUUGCAUCGUCUCCAACACAUGUCAUUUAAGAUUUCUCAUAUCUUUCGUGAGGGUAAUCAUGUUGCUGAUGCUUUGGUAAAUCAUGGUGCUUUGGCAAAUCAUGGUGCUUUGGGCUCUGGUUUAAUUUGGUGGGAUACUGCACCUUCUUUUAUUUUGCCUUUUUGUCAGUGGGACUGGCUGGGCAUGCCUAAUUACCGGUUCUCCUAGUUUCUUUUGUUUACUCUUUCAGAGUUUUGGUCUCUUAGGUCAGCAUGUUGUUGUGCAUUUCUGUCAUUGUCUUUCUCUUCUGCAGGGUUUGGUUCGGUCCCCCUUGUUGUUCUUGUAUCUCUUUUUUGUUUCUUAUUAAUAAAUUAUGAUCAAGGGGACGGGUGGGGGCUUUCGGAGCGUCGGUCCUCUCUUUGAGGAUGGUGGAUGUUUGUGCAUCUGAUGACUGAUACUGAAGAGCUAAUCUCGCCUAAUCAUUUAGUUUAUUUAUACUAUGGUGGCACCCAUGUGCCACAAUUGAUUGUUAGUUGUUGGCUAUAAAUUUCAUAUACAUCAUAUAUUUCGCGUAAUUGUUAACUUUUACUAAACGGUAGCAAAUCUUCUGAAGUUAAUUAGUACACUAGCUGGAAUCAAAUGGGACGGUGCCCAAUUGUGAUAAAAAGUUGGAGGCAGGAACUUUCUAAAGAAGUAAAUUCCAAAAUUUCACAAUAUGAUUGUCCCUACCGCACAAAUAGUAUGCACUUCUAGAACUUCAAAUUAGGAUGACUUGACUUACAUUUCAACAUGGACUGCCCAUCAUUUUCAUUUGCAUUUAAGAGUCCCACAUACGGAAAUACCAAGAGACGUCCACAUUACAUUGUAUGGUCAGAUAUUAUCUAGUCUUAAUUGCUGCAGCUCAAGUGGGUUUCGAAUUUCAAUUUCUUAUUGAAAAGCAUUCUCAUUUCUUUGAAAACUUCCUCUCUUGGGUUCUCAUACAUAUGAAAUCACAGACACUGUCAAUUUGUUACGAUGUGAGAGAAUGUAGUCGUCCAAAGCACUCAUUGAAUGCACAUGGAAAUUUUAACUUGUAUUCAAACAUUUGGCCAGAAAUAAUUGAGGUUAGUCCACCUCGUGGAUUAAUUGGAAUUUUAAAUUCAAUUUGCAGAUGGUCCUUCCCUUGACUAAAUUACAAAAUUCCUUUGUACAAAAGUAAUGGCUCCCACGUCACAAUGAAUACAACCAAUUAAACAAUUACAAACUUGCAUAAAGCUUUUGAUCACUUGGUUCUAUAAAUACCAUACCUCCUCCUCACUUCUUCACAACCCAAAAUCUCCCAUUUGCAUCAUCUUUCUUAGUCUUCCCUCUUCAUCAAUUACUUUUUUUUAUUCUCACUUUCCAAACACUUUUUACAGAAUCAUGGGUGUGUUCACAUACGAAACCGAGAUCAACUCUGUCAUCCCUCCUGCUAGGUUGUUCAAUGCCUUUGUUCUUGAUGCUGACAACCUCAUCCCAAAAAUUGCACCACAGGCAGUUAAGAGCACUGAGAUCCUUGAAGGAGAUGGAGGCGUUGGAACCAUCAAGAAAAUUAACUUUGGUGAAGGUAAGUUUAGAUUUUUUUUUUUCUUCUUCUGGUUUGUUAUUUUAACGUUACAGAAAUAUUGUUUUGGGGUCAUCUUAUCUCAUAACAGAAAGAUUCAUCUGGUUUAAUGUAUAUAUUUGUGCAGGUAGCACUUACAGCUAUGUGAAGCACAGAAUUGAUGGGAUUGACAAAGAGAACUUCGUGUACAAGUACAGUGUGAUUGAAGGAGAUGCAAUCUCUGAGACAAUUGAGAAGAUCUCCUAUGAGACUAAGUUGGUGGCAUCUGGCAGUGGUUCUGUCGUCAAGAGCACCAGCCACUACCACACCAAGGGAGAUUUUGAGAUCAAGGAAGAGCAUGUCAAGGCUGGCAAAGAGAAGGCCUCUCAUCUCUUCAAGCUCAUUGAGAACUACCUCUUGGAACACCAUGAUGCCUACAACUAAAUAUUCAUAGCUUUAUUACUUGGUGAUAUUCAAUCUUAUGUCCUCUUUGGCAUCAAAUAAUGGUGUGGUUUUUUUUUUUUUCUUCUUCUUCAUUUCUUUCCAAAACCGUGUUUGGCUUGUGCUUGGAGCUUUGGUUUGAAGAUUGAUUAAUACUAUAUUUUCUUUAGUUUCCAAUGAAUAAAAUGAAAAUCAUGGAUAUAUGAUGAUAUUUGCAAGCUCUUUUCUCGUAACAUUGUAAUGCAAAAUGUCAACAUAUCAUAUUUGAAGCGGCAUUUGUCAAUUACCAACGAUCAUAAUAAUUGAAAUAACAAUCGGACCUCAUAUGCGACAUAAUACGAUCAAUUAAUGGGAUGAAAGAAUAUCAUUUCGUUUUUCCUGUUGUAAACCAUUUGAGAAUUCAUACUAUAAAUACCGAUAUCCCGUGUAAGGGACUCUGUAGCUCAAGUGGUUAAGAUCAUUCUGCACGAGAUCCUAGAUUCAAUUCCCCCUCCCCUAAUAUAGCUUGUAUAAAAAAAUAUAAAAAAUAAAUACCGAUAACCCAUGAUGUUGAUAUCAAAGCUUAGAUAAUGAUCAAACAUAGAAUGAAAUGUGGAGGAAGAUAAGAGAAUUGAUAGAUUAAGGGGUGAAAGGUAUGUUAUGUAAACUGCAACACAAAUUUAUAAUUGUUCUUUGGAUGUCGCCCUUGUGAACAGGAAGCAGUCUGUAUCAAUGGAUAUGGAGCUCCAAGUCGAAGUGAUCGAACCUGCAAAACAUAAUUCGCAAAGGAAAGGUAAAACUUUUCACUAUCUAGCGAAAGUAGAAGAGACGAAAAAAGUAAUCUUAUUUAGAGUAUGAGGCACAGCCUACCUCAACACGUCAUGGUAGGUAAGAGAGCUAUUGCAUAUGGCUUCUGAAUAUUUAUGUAUAUUUAAAGGGUCUAGCCGCGCGGCUAUACCUAAAAAAGUUCGCAUACAUUUAAAGAGUAUAGCCACUCGGCUAUACUUUUAAAAUAUUCGAAUAUAUUUAAAUAGUAUAGCCGUGCGGCUAUACUCUUUAAUAUUAGAAAUGACGAUUUCAGGCCUGCGAUUGAGGCCAACUCGAAGCCGCGCGGCUGUACCCUAAACCCUCGAUUCGCACCCUGUUCUUGAUCUCGCGAUCGAUGGCGCCGAUGUGCUCGCUGUGGAGCUGUUGUUUAUUGGUCUGUUUCUCACCUUGUAUGACGUUUUUUGGAUUUCGAAUUCGAUUGGCUGUGCUUUGAAAGCAAAUAGAAAUUCAUAAGCAUGCUGCAAAACAAGGAUUGCUCAGUUUUAAAAAUACAAGUGUAGCUAUUCUUGAUUUUGUGAUGGCUUCUGAUAUUUAGCUAUGUUUUUAGCUUUCAUGUAAGAGAUCAACGAUUGGAUUAGUCUUAAUCUGUGCAGAAAUGGUGUGUGAGGAAGGGAGAAAUUGAUUAAAAAGGUCUGUUGGCUUGGGUCUGGGUCUUGGUUUGCAGAUUGGGUGUACGGUCUGUUGGCAAAGCCUGUCGGGGGUUGGGUGGGGGAGGAAUCGGAGACAGAGACAGAGCAGAGGGGGCGCCGCCAGGGGGCGUGGUUUGGGUGGGGGUUAUUUGUUAUUUUUGUUAUUUUUAAUUUUUUUAAUUUGUUAUUUUCUCUUUUAAAAAUGAAAUUACGAAUUCACCCCUAAUAUUGACGAAUUCCACAACUAUGUAUUGUCUAAUUUAAUUAAACUGCUAUUUAGAGAUAAUAUUCCAUAUAUGACAACCACAAGGUGUGGUGCGAUUGGCAAACUACUACCUCCAGCUGCCGAGCUACCUGAUAUCUCAAUGGCAGGAGUUCGAAACCUGUUAGAAGCACUCUGUAGCCAGGGGCAAGCCAAACCUCGAGCAGAGAUUAAUCCCACCUUUUGAGUGUGGGGACACCUCGUGGUAUUUACCAAAAAAAAAAAAAUUCCAUAUAUGACGUGUACGUUGAUAAGCAUUUAACAAGGUAAGAUUUUGUGUCCAUAUGGCACGUCUUAUCCUGAAAGAAUCUUACACACUAAACUUACACACACUACACAAAUGCUAGGACUCGAACCCAAGACCUCACCUGAGGGAGUAAAUACUCAAAACCACUACACUAGUGGGUCUUUUGCGAGUAUGGAAAAUAUUUGACAAAAAGAAAGAGUGUGGAAAGUUGUGAAUAAGUAGAGAAUGUGAUAUUUGACCAAAAAAAAGUAGAGAAUGUGAUAGCAUUUGUAAGAAAUGUGGGAAAUUUUUUGAAGUAUUUAUUGACAUCUUUUAGGUUUUUAAAAAAUAAUAAUAAUAAAGCCAAAGGCAAUUUUGAAAAGAAAAAAAAAAGGCUGCAUUUCAAAAGGGUUUAUAAUUUUUUUUAAAAAAGAAUUUUAUAUACAUUUAAAAUGUAAAAAAGGGAAGGGAAAAAAAAAGAAGGUAACGUGUCAGAACCAAUUUUUUAAAUAUAUAUUUUAAAAAAAGAAUGAAUUUAAAUACAUUUAAAAAGGUUAAAAUAAAAAAUAAAAAAAUUAACGACUAGCUGACAACAAUGCACCUUUAAUAUUAGCCUUUGGAUUUGCAGUUGCACAAGAUGUUCCAUGCUCAUGCCCAUGCGUAAUACUUUCUCUUCUUAAAAAGCACAUGCGUUGGGCCAACAAAAAAUUUGGCCUGAGCUAUAGUUGGACUACAAGUGGCCUGGUUGGAGGGCUAAAUGCCUAAAUGUGGCCCUCUAAAUUUGGCUAAAUUUUUUUUAGCCUAUAACUGAAGAUGAAUUUUGCAUUAAUUUAGUAUUUGGCCUGUAGCCCACGGCUGAAGAUAGCCUUAUCUUACCUUAUGCAUGCAUUAGAAAGUGUCUGUUUUCUUUUGAGGCCAGAUCAGUCCCAUUAAACAUGCUCUAAGCACUUCAUGAGCUGUUAAAAGUCUCUCAAUUGGUGCUCAAGGUCACAAUUUUUCUUUGGGGUGCUUAUACCCUUUGUAGCUGAAGUUUUUUUCUUUCCUGUUUUGUUUAUCUAAUUUUGGGUUUCAAGACCUCGUUUACAACUGGCAGUCAACACUGGAUUCAGUGGUAUGAUCAAAUAAACCGUACAAUAUUAACAAUAUGAUCAAUAGUUCAAAGUUACAUAAUUGAGUACCAGAUCAACUUUCAACCUUCAAUAUUUCAUGUAAAAUACAACAAUUCAAUCUUUUAAUGUGAUUUCAACUGGAACAUAUUGACUUUAUUAUAAAAUAUAUAUAUUAAAACAAAGUGUGACAUAUAUCAUGAACAACUGGACAAAGAGACACUUGAUGUACCAAGUCCAAGGCAAACCCACACCUUUAACUGACAAUGAAACUGGUAGAACCCAAAUUACAAAUAUAAACAAGUUUGGUUUUAGUUGUAGGCAUCAGGGUUGGCCGUUAGGUAGUCUUCAACAAGCUUGAAGAGACCGGAAGCCUUUGCUUUGCCAGCCUUAACUUGCUCCUCCUUGAUCACCACAUCUCCCUUGGCAUGGUAGUGGCUGGUGGUCUUGAUGAUGGAUCCUCCGUUGGGGGAUGCCACCAACUUGGUCUCAUAAGCGAUCUUCUCGAUUACGUCAGACAAGGCAUCUCCUUCAAUCAAAGUGUAGCUGUAAGAAAACUUGUCCUUGUCAAUCCCAUCGACCCUGUGCUUCACAAACCCGAAUUGGCUGCCUGCAAAUGGAUUAAAACAUAAAUUAGUAAAAUUCUUUGAGUUCAUCUAAGUGUCAAAAAAAAUGUGAACAUAUACAGAGAAUAAGGGGUCAACUAGCUAACCUUCACCAAACGUAAUUUUCUUGAUGGUUCCAACGCCUCCAUCGCCUUCAACAAUUUCAGCACCUUUGACUGCAGAUGGAGCAAUCUUGGGGAUGAGGGUAUCGGCGUCGAGGAUGAAAGCCUUGAACAACCUUGCUGGUGGGAUGACAGAGGUGAACUCUGUUUCAUAUGUGAAAACGCCCAUGAUGAUGAUGAGUUUUUUACUUGGGAAACUGAUCAAAGGAAAAGUUUAAAGGAAUAAGAGAAUAGUUGAACUACAAGGAGGUUGUGAGUUGAAGAAUGAGGAUGCUGAAGGUGAUAUUUAUCGAUCACAUCUAAGAGCAUGAACUGAGUUGAAGGUUCCCAUUUGGUGUGUGAAUAGCUGUCCUUGUACAUUGUUAACCAGUUUAUGCAAGUUGCUAAUAAAAUUGUAUUAGGAUAUGUCCAAAACGGUCAAGGAAAGCUCCCAGAGACGAAUUAAUUUACAAGCCAAUUGGUUCUAGACUGUGUACUAUAUGGGGUCGGGUUCUAGAUGGUCUUCCAAUUAUAAUUUGAAUUUUCAAUAAACAAAUGGUCGGUCAUGAAAGUUAACUACAUCAGCUGUUGUUUCUGAAUCCGUGAGGAAUCAUUUUUUUCCUCCACAAUGGCAACUGGCUGGCAGUCAACAUCGGCUUUAUUUUUUUAUUUUUUAUUUUAUUUUCUAGUCAACAUUGGCUUAUUUUCUUUUUUUAUUGAUACUGUUUUUUCAAUUUUAUAAGGUUUGGAUAUGAGGUGCAGUAAAUUUCUGCCUAGAUUCACUGCAAAAAUCUACUUCACAACCAGACUAAGGAACAUUUACUGAUGUUGCAAAUGUCUUCCAUGACAUAUUGAAUAUAUGCCAGACUAAAAGCAUACUUAGAGCAAUUUCACCUACUGUGCCAUGACAAAGAGCAAGAGCAAGUAAAGGCAGACACUAUUCACAUGAAUAGUGACUAUCCUAGCAAUUUUUUUUGAUGCAUUCCCUCCCACCUAUUGCCAUGGCAAUCCAAGGAUAAUCACUAUUCACAUGAGAUAUUAGGAGAGAAAUUUGUAUGAAUUUUGGUAUAGAAAGUGAAGAACAUGGUUAGGUAUUUAUAUAUAAAAAAAAAAUUAUGAAUUUUUUUCCCUUUCUUUCCCAAUUUUUUUGGUAUUUAAAUUGGUCGCUGACGUCAGCAACUCAGGCAAGUCUUGCCUUUGGGCUUGCCCAGUUUUAUGGGCCCAUUUUUUUCCAUGGCAAAAGGUAAUGGUUGUAAGUUGUUUUUGGAGCCUAAGCCCCAUUUUGCCAUGGCAAAAAGUGAUGGGUGGAAGUGCUCUUAGCAAUUAAUCAAUCUUGUACUUAGGCUGCAUGAGUGAGUGGAAAAGUAUUAGAAAACCAGUGUAACAACAUAUGUUUAAGCCUAUCAGAUCAGAUGUUCAUCUUCAUUCAUCCCACAAACUAAGACUUUAUCAGUCUAUAAGAUGUACAAAUUGACCUUAUUAGUUAAAUAAUUAUGUUAUGUAUAAUGUAUCUGCCAUCAAGUACUCCAAGUACUUAAUUGAGGUUAGCAACUCUGGUUGGCUGGACUAAUUGGGUUAUUAAGAUUAGCUAUUUGAGGCGGCUUCUUAGACUUGAACAGUAAGUCAAUGAAAUUGAAAAUUCUAGCCCCCUUUUCCAAUAGGGACAUUCAUUGAAAACUUUAAUCUACAGGGGAAAUUUCUAACACCAUGACCAUAUGCUUCCAUCUAUAAAUAGCACAUCCAGUGCUCACAUUUUCAAGCAUCAAAUAUCAUCCCUGCCAAUCAUCUAAUCCUUUCACACUUUCAUCUUCUUUGAUCAUUUUCUAAGCUCUAAAAUCAUCACCAUGGGUGUCUUCACAUACUCAGACGAGUCCACCUCAGUCAUCCCCCCACCAAGAUUGUUCAAAGCCCUUGUUCUUGAAGCGGACACCCUCAUCCCCAAGAUUGCUCCCCAAUCAGUUAAAAGUGCUGAAAUUGUUGAAGGAGAUGGAGGUGUUGGAACCAUCAAGAAGAUUAGCUUUGGUGAAGGUUGGUUUCUUCCACUGCCUCUUCCAAGUCUAACUUGUUUGCUUGAUUAACAUAAAUCUUGAAAGCAGUAAGCUCUAAAAUUCUAAUCAAAUCUUCAUUUUACAGGAAGUCAUUACAGCUAUGUGAAGCACCGGAUCGACGGGCUUGACAAAGAUAACUUUGUGUACAACUACACUUUGGUUGAAGGAGAUGCUCUUUCAGACAAGGUUGAGAAAAUCACUUAUGAGAUUAAGUUGGUGGCAUCUGCUGAUGGAGGUUCCAUCAUAAAGAGCACCAGCAACUACCACACCAAAGGUGAUGUUGAGAUCAAGGAAGAGGAUGUUAAGGCUGGCAAAGAGAAGGCAACUGGUCUGUUCAAGCUUAUUGAGAACUACCUUGUGGCCAACCCAGAUGCCUACAACUAAAACCUUAAAUGAAUAUAUACUGCAUGAUGUGCUUUCUCUGUCAUUAUAUUGGUGUGGCUUUCAUUUUUUCCUUUUCUUUUUCUUGUGUAUCAACCCAGAGCUGCUUUGGCUUGCACCUAAGUCUAUGAUAAAUUGUAAUGUGUGUAUUUGAUUUGAUUCUCAAUAAAUAAAGCAAAAAUCAGUUGCUGGUCUUUACAAAUUUGGUCUGCAGUUAGACAAGGAUAUACAAUAAAAGCAGAAGAGCAUAUCUGCUUGAAUAUUUAUUUUGUUCUUUGUUAAAUACCUUUGGGGAACAAUAUAAAAGAAUACAGAAAAUACAUUGUAGCACUCAAAAUAAGAGAAAUUCCAUUUCUGUUUAAUUAAAUGUUGGCCACAAAUGGCUUUGCAAAGUCAGAAGAUUUGAUUGAUAACAAAUGGGCAGCAGAGUGAGUUUCAAAGAAUAAUAAACCUCGUGGUGUGUGGACUUGACUUACCAUAAGAAAUAUGAAGUGUGUGGACUUGACUUCAAUUUGAUUAGAACAGCAAAUUUGGUAGAAGAGAUUACUUGAGAAGAGAAGCGAUUGAAAGUCUAAAUUGGAUGACAUGUUUGUGAAAGUGAUAGGGAGACAAAGCACAAUACAAUAAUGUAUAAUUCCUGCAUUGUGGGGUCUUUGAUGAGGUAGAAGAUUUAUGAUUAAUGGACAUUUGAAGCAGAAAAUGGUGCAGAUGGCUGAUGUUGAAGCAGAGCAUCCUCUGUAUGAUUAGAGAGGACUCAAGUCUACAAGACGUAUACACCAGGCUAAAUUACACGUAUCGUAUUUACUUAUCACAUCUCUUAUAGAAUGAAAAUAUAAUUAUACAUGCCAAUGAGGUCUAGCCCAUUGAAAAAAGGCCUUAAUUUGCAGAUUAGUGUGUUAGAUUUCUUUAUAUACAUGUUCAAGAUCUUUCACACAAUCUGAAAUACGUAAAGACAUACCUAACGCCAUCUUUCUUGAGUACACGACCUCUGCUCUCUCUCAAAAUCUGUUUCAACUCUCUCUUUAUGAUGAGAUUAGGGUUAGAUAACGUGUCUAACGAGAGCAAGACCUUAAGCUUAUAUAGGGCUAUGUCAAGUUGUCUCUACUCAUCACCGAGGGCCGACUUGACUAAUCUUCUAAGCCCACCAAGCAACGAUUCACACAAAAAAGGAAAUUAAUAGAACCCCUUAGGCUUUAAAACCUUUCCUUAGUCCACAAGGUUUCGGGCCUCAAGGUAUAACCUAAUUUAAACUCUUAUUAUCAAAACCGGAUAUAACUUAGUAUCUAGUGCACCAAUCUAAAUAGGCAACAUAACAUAGUGGUCUCAUAUUCGAAUCCUCAUAGUUAUUUGGUAGUGUGUAUGAAAAAUUCCCCCCUCCCCCUCCCCCUUCCCAACUUUGACAAAAACAAAUAUAAUUAAACAUAUGGGUUUUAUAAUUUCUAUAUUUGUAAAAUAUAUAAUACUUUUGUGUGGUUUGCCACACUAUUGUGCCAAGCUUAAGCCCACAAUGAAACCACAAACAGAAGCUCGUUUCGUAUUGACCACAUAGAAGCCCAAAGUGGAGAGCCCACUUAUUUUCUAUAUAAUACUAGAGAGACUGUAUAAUGAGGGGUUAUUUGAUACAUUUUGUAAGAGCAUCUUUAAUAGGCUCUUUAACAACUCCAGAAUGCUAAAAUAAGUGAGCCACAUCAUCAAAAUUCUCUCUAACAACUUUAGAAUGCUAAAAUAGGUGAUCCACAUCAUCAAAACCCUCUCCAACAACCUUAUCAAAGUCAAUCAUCAAAGUUGCAACCUCUUUCCUCUAUUUUCAGGAUUGGUAAGUUGACUUUGAUUCAAAAAUUAAUUUUACUUUGGAAAAAUAAAACCUACCUUGAAAAUAUUAAAACAUGCAUUUUUUUUUCCAGAUAAUAAAUACAUAGAAAUUCUUCACAUAUUUUCAUAUUUUUCAUUCUUUUUCAUAACAUUGCAUUAAUUGAAUUUGAAGAGUCUGAUAUGGCAUAAAUUAUAAAGUAGCAAAUAAACCUUUUCAAAUUACCACAUAAGUCAACAAACUUUAAUUUGAAAAGUUUAGUUUGCUACUACUAUUGGAGAAGAGCAUCUCCAACAGCUUUUUCAAAGACUUUAGGACACUAAAAUAAGUAAGCCACAUCAAAAAAACCUUCUUUAACAGUCCUGUCAAACCCACUCACCAAAUCUAGUACUCUUCCUUCACUCUGCAACAUAUUUAUUAAGCUUUGAAACAACAAAAGCUGUAUUGGAAUGUUAAAAGCCUACAUGAGAUUGAGUUAACAAUAAUGAAUUAUUAUUUAAAUAUUAAGUUGGUAUUAUUAAAUUGAAUAUAAUAUUAGUGUUUGAUUAAAUAGAAAAAGAAAAGUCAAACAUUGAAAUUAAUAAAAUUGAAGAGGUUGAUAGUGAUACAAAAUAGUAAAGUAGCAAAUUUUACCCUUCAAAUUACCACGUAAGUCAACAAACCACAAUUUAAAGAAUUUAGUUUGAAGAAAUUAUUGAAGAUGCUUCGUUUAUCCACAUUAACUCAAUCAUUAAUGUAAUUAGUUAAUACAUUACAAAUAGGGUUUUAUUCUUGUAACAAAGUGAGGCAAAUUAAGUUUUUUUUAGGGAUUUGAUUUCCCCACUCUCCUUUUCUCCACUUACACUAACUUUUUUUUUAAAUACUUUUUAAUCAAUUUUGUUCUUUCUCUUUCCUAUUCUAUCUUUACCUUGCACUAAUUUCUUUUUACUUCACUUUUAUAUUAGUUCUUUUCCUUUAUACUUAAUUUUCCAGCUUGUACUCCAUUUUUAGUAUUUUUUUUCCUUUAAUCGAGUAAUAAAUUAUUAUUUUUCCCUUUAAUACUGAAAAUGGAGUGUAAGUUGAAAAAUGGCCAAAAGUCACUUUUGGUCCUGUAGUUUAGUACUUCAACCACUUUUGAUCCUAUAGUUUCAAUUCUAUCAAUUUUGCCAUUGUAGUUUCGUAUUUGUAACAAUUUAAGGAUAUGUUAGCAUUCUUGUUAAUUUCUUUCAUGAUGCAAGGGGCAAUUUCGUCAACACAAAACCGUUAAGCGUAAAAGCUUGUCUGAAAUUCUCCCAAUGUCAUAUUAGGGCUCAAAAUUCAACCACUAAUCCCAAUUUUUGAAGAACCCUAAACCCAAAUAACCAAUUUCAAGCCCUAAUAUGAAAUUAGGGGAGUUUCAGAAGAUCUUUUAUGCUCAAGGAUUUUGGGUAGACAAAAUUGCCCUAUGCACCGUCAAAGAAAUUGACAGGAAUACUAAUUUGUCCUUAAAUUGCAACAAAUACGAAACUACAGGGUCAAAAUUGACCGAAUUAAAACUACAGGGUCAAAAGUGGUUGAAGCGCCAAACUACGGGGACCAAAAGUGACUUUUACCCAAAAAUAAGUAUAAAGAAAAAGAAAUAACAUAAAAGUGAAGUAAAAAAGAAAUUAAUGUAGGAUAAGGAUAGAAUAAGAAAGAGAAAUAACAAAAUUGAAUAAAAAGUAUUAAAAAGUAAAAGAGAGUGUAAGUUAAGAAAAGAAAAACGGGAAAAUCAGCUCACUUUUUUAAAUAUGAUGAUAUUCUUAUCAAAUUGCACCGAAAACAGUACCGAUUCUGCUAUUUUUGUUUUGUCUUUUUUCCCCACUCUGUUAAUUAUCCAAAUUAUGAGUCCCGCCAACUUUGAAGGUUGUCUUUUAUGUCAAAAAUAAUGCUGAGCAUCUAUUUCCUUUCUCCUUCUCUUUUUGUCCGGACAUUGAGCAUUCAGAACUCUGGCUUUAUUCCUCGCUUAUGUAUUUUGGAACAUAAUUGGUGUUGAUUUUCAACAGUGAAUUGCAAUAUCAUGCGAGAGUACUUAUAGCUAAAAUAAUUAAGAGUAUUUAUUCUUGCAUUUGAGGUCUUACGUUCGAUUCCCCCCUCUCCGAAAUAUUGCUUGUAUUAAAAAUUUUUUGUAAUACUCUGAUCACAGGAACAUUCCACAUGUGCAUUCUAUAUAAUAGUUGGCAUUCGGAGUCGACUAUGCAUGUAGAUAGACAUGUUAAUUUUGGAACAUCCUAUUGGUCAAUUAGAAUAUUAUUAAGUUAGCACACCAGUUGGAAUAAGUUGAAUUUUCCAAAUAAACUUUUAGUGGUGGCGUAAUUUCUUUGACUAAAAUAUUGAUUGAAAUUGGGAAUUAUAUUUUUCCUUUUCACAUGUACAACCACCGCUAAAAAAAAAAUUAAAAUUGUCUAUAUAUGGGAGCUACUUUACACAUAUACCCUUCCCCCUACCCUAUAAAUACCACCUCUGGUGCUCUCACUUCCUCACACCAAUAUCAAACAUUCUCUUAGCUUCCUCACAUCUCAAUCUUUCUUUGAUCAUUUUCUAAGCUCUAAAAUCAUCACCAUGGGUGUCUUCACAUACUCAGACGAGUCCACCUCAGUCAUCCCCCCACCAAGAUUGUUCAAAGCCCUUGUUCUUGAAGCUGACACCCUCAUCCCCAAGAUUGCUCCCCAAUCAGUGAAAAGUGCUGAAAUUGUUGAAGGAGAUGGAGGUGUUGGAACCAUCAAGAAGAUUAGCUUUGGUGAAGGUUGGUUUCUGCCAUUGCCUCUUCUAAGUUUAACUUGUUUGCCUAAUUAAUAACAUAAAUCUUGAAAGCAUUAAUCUCUUAAUUUCUAAUUAUAAUCCUCAUUUUACAGGAAGUCAUUACAGCUAUGUGAAGCACCAGAUCGACGGGCUUGACAAAGAUAACUUUGUGUACAACUACAGUUUGGUUGAAGGAGAUGCUCUUUCAGACAAGGUUGAGAAAAUCAGUUAUGAGAUUAAGUUGGUGGCAUCUGCUGAUGGAGGUUCCGUCAUAAAGAGCACCAGCAACUACCACACCAAAGGUGAUGUUGAGAUCAAGGAGGAGGAUGUUAAGGCUGGGAAAGAGAAGGCAACUGGUCUGUUCAAGCUUAUUGAGAACUACCUUGUGGCCAACCCUGAUGCCUGCAACUAAAACCUUAAAAUGAAUAUAUACUGCAUGUGCUUUCUCUCUCAUUGGUGUGGCUUUCAUUUUCCUUUUCUUUUUUCUGGUGUAUCAAGCCAGAGCUGCUUUGGCUUGCACCUGAGGCUAUGAUAAUUUGUAAUGUUUGUAUUUGAUUUGAUUCUCAAUAAAUGAAGCAAAAAAUCAAUUACUAGUCUUUACAAUACAAUAAUGUAUAAUCCCAGCAAUUGGAUCUUUGAUUAGGUAGAAGAUUUAUGAUUGAUGGGCUGAUUUUGAAGCAGGGUAGCCUCUGUGUGAUUAGAGAGACCUCAACUGUACAGGUAAAAGUAACAUUACAUAUUUACUGUUCACAUCUCUCAUAAAGUAACAUCAUAGCUUAAAACCACAACGGAAGCCCAAAUAGAAACUCGUUUCGCUUAUUUCACUAGGAGCCUGAACGACUGGAUUAUAACCUAACUGUAUAAGCUUCCUUUCUAAAGUAGAGGAAACAGAACGAGUUUCCACAAAACACAAAAUAUCAGGACUACGGGAAGUUUUUAGACUUUUAACAAACUGAAAAAAACAUGGCCGAGAGCAACCUCUACAAUUCCACAAGUAGAAAGAUGGUACCCAGCAGGGCUUUGAAACUGAUCAGGAUCAUUAUUAUUAAAAAUAUCCACAAUAUGAGGUGAAUGAUUGUCAAUAGUUCCAGAUGACCCAUGGGGGAUUAUUGAAUUGACUGGAAUUCCAGCAGUUUUCAUGGCAAAUACCAUUACUGCACCAGCAUUAUCAAGAUUGGACAUAGGUGGAUAAUCAACAAAAACCAUAAAAAGAGCAUUCAAGUAGUGUUCAACAGUGAUAGGAAGAUGGAACUUAACAGCAAACAACGCAGACAUAGAUACAGAUAUAAUGUAUGAACCUAUUUAGAUAAGAUAGAUAAAUGAAAAGCAAAAGAGUUCUACGCCUAACAAAAGAAAGUGAAAAGAUAAAAGUAGUUUUGUUACCCUUAAGAACUAGUGAGAAUAUUAGAAAAAAGAAUCCAGUAGAUUAAAACCAAACAACACACAACAUUACCGUGAUUACUUUGACAGUAAAAAACCCAUCAAGUAUCAAAAUAUACCAAAGUGGUACAUAACCAGAUAAGAAGAACAAAGCACAAGGAUUUAUAUUUAUGGUAAUAACAUGGUUGUCCAACAUUGAGAAUAUAUGUAUAUACAAAAAACCGAAUGAGAUAAGAAAAUAAGACAGAGGAACAUACCUGAUUUUACCAUUGCAAGUAGACACAAAGGAAAGUAUAAAUCAAUCAACAGACCAAAUCCAAGAAAUAAAAGAUGUCAGAUGUCAGAACAAAGGAAAGCAGCCAGAAAUUCCAUCCAUAAGAAAGAUUAAUCAGUGAGAAGAGCAUGCAAGAAACCAUCUCUAGAAUACAGACCCUUUGCUCGAAAUCAUGAAGAGAAAGACUAACACAAAAGCAAGUACGCCUCAGAUAAAACAGAUUACACAAAAGACUAGUAAGCCAAAAAACCACAACCCUCCAUUAAUAACCGAAAACCAGAGCCAAUUUAGGACUGGUUGAAGCAAAAACCAAGAUCCAUUCCAAAAUAAAGUCUGGACUAGAUCUGGAAAAGUACAAUUGUUUCCCCAUCUACCAAUACAUAAAAGCCAGACAAACGAACUAUUAAUUGUAUAUCUAAGUAGGGUAGGUAACGGAGAAGGGCAAGAAGAACUAACAAAAUACCAACAAUUGAAAAGUACAAGGUGGAAUAAUUUGAGAGAAAACCUAGUGCUUGAACUGAAAUUAAAUUUUAUAUUUCAAAUUCAAAUUCAAAAAUAUUAUAAAAGAAAAACUCAUGACUAGGUACAUAAACUUCCUACUUCUUAGCCAUUUGAGCUAAACUUCAGUUCAUCGAUACAAAGUCCAGUUGGAAAUACUUCAUAAUCCCUUGAAAUAAAUAAAUUGUAAGUAAAUAGAUAAAAACUUGAAAGAAAAACAAAAUCAAUGCCAAGUUUUGUUGCACAAAUACUGGAGAGUUAGGUUGCAAGACUAAAGAAAGCAUUCCAACUUUACAAUAAACAGAGGUUACAGAAUACAUCUGCGGAGCACAGAAGAUGUAUAAACAUGUAGCACAUAUGCCUUUCAUGAUUCAAUUUCAAAGGAUAUGCUUUGCAUGUAAAUUCUCUUAUAUAUUACAGGUGAUUUAGACAGAGGGAAUGCAAAACCUAAAGAAUGAUCUAAAAUGGUCUACUUCUCAGAAGAUCUACAAACAUAUACGCUUAUAUAGAUAUCCAAAAUUACAAAUGAAAUGAGCUUUAACAUCAAAUUAAUUAUAUAUUAUGACUCAUAAAAACACCCACUUUUGCUUGCUUGGGUUGAGUAUUGCAUAUAACUUUUGGUUCAUUUUGGAGAAACAUUGGAAAUGUUUACUGCAAAGCAUUUGAUACAGAGUAAAUAAAGUCCAAGAAGCCAGUUCCCUUGAGAAGACCUUUACCAGUCAAGAGUUCAAAAUCUAACAACAAUAGGAACCCAAUCACAGCUGCCUUCCCAUUUAUGAUUUCGUUCCUCGCGGUGAAACCAAACGCCACAUCUAGACCGUCAUCAACCACCAUUUUCACCUGAAUUAACAAUUUAGCACGUCACCACGAAUUGAGCAAAUCAUCGUCAGCAAAUCACAGUUUGACACAUGCACAAAGCCAAGCCACGUACAUUUUUUCAAUGUCUAGUUUCUUAAAGAACAAGAAAAGAAAAAGAAAAAUACCUCAUCCACAUUGACAUCAGUAGCUGUAAAACCCGGUUGAGCCUUGCCACUGAAGACAAUUUCGGCAGCUGCAUCAGAUUGGAGUGAAGCAGCACCGAGGCUGAUGUAAAUGUUUUGGUCAUCAGUUUUGACAGGGUAGACGUAAAGCGUCCUCAAAGCGGGUGUGAGGACUCGGAGCACUGGGUUUUUGGGAUACCACUCCUUAAUGGAUCCGUUGCGCAGAUCAAAUGUGCUAUCAGUUGAUGGGCAAACUAUACACCCAUCCUGCAAUGCAACCAGUAUCAAUAAGUUAACAAACAAUUAGGAUUAGGAACAAAUUAAUUAACUGAAUUAAAAGUAAUUAAUUGGCUUGCCUGGGUGAGCUUGGCGUUGAGAAGGCCUUCGCUAUAAGCCCCUUCAGCAGGGGAGCGAUUCUCAAUAGCAAAGACCUGAUCUUUAUACCACAGCAAGAGUAUGGCUUCCCCAUCUUGAAUUAUGACGCGCCGCUCCCCCCUUGGCAGCGCGGCCAGUGGCACUACCGGUACCCAAUUCUCCCCGCCGCCGCCGCCAGACGCCGACGACGACCCGUCUGCCACCGACACCUCCAUCGCUUGGCACCUCGUCGUCAUUCUCCGACGAGGCACAGAGUGGUAAUUUCGUGCAUUAACACCGUGGUAAGAAUUAUGCGGCAGUAUCUGUUUCUGGGGGCUUAGUAGAGGGCGGGAUGCAGCAGGUGUAGGAUGAGUAGUAAGAUGGUAAUUUGGGGGCAAUGCGGGGGCGAAGGGUGAAGUAGAGGCCAUGGAAGAGUGUUUGGGUGGUGUUGGAUAGACAAAAGAGUAAGGGAGGGGAGGAGAGAAAGUGAAGGGUUCGUGUAUUGGAUAAGGAGUAGGGAUGCUCGCUGCUAUUCACACAGUCGCUCAAAAGUCACUGUGAUCAAAGUUGGCCACGUUGUCAUUUAACAGAGCAUUACACGUGUGACAUUAAUAGAGGACUUAGGGAAAGUUACAAAGAUAUGCCAAGUUUCUUUUAGUUAUAAAGAUUGAAUUCAAAUAAAUACACACUCCUCAUAGCUUAACACAAAGACAGCUUUGGCUUGAUAUAAAAAACGAAGCAAAACAGUAAAAUCAAGAAACUCAAAUGAUUUUCCUUCCCCACCCUUCCCUCCUACUCUCCCCUCUCCCCUCCUCUCUUUCUCCACCCUAACCCUUCCCCUCCCCUCCACCCCUCCUCUCCCCCUCGUUCCUUCCUUCUCUCUUGGGGUUGUUUACAUAUACUCUUUGUGAGUUGGAUGUUUGUUUGUAGUCUAGUGACUCUAGUCUAUACUUGUACUUUCUACUUAUGAGAGUUUAAAAGUUGUAGUUGUAUUGAUAGUUUUAGGCACUACGGUUCAUGUUUGGCAUGUUCAAACUUGCCGCUUUUAUACCGAAAUUUCUUUAGCCUUAUAAGACUAUUAGUGGAGAUACACUUUAUACACUUGUUGUUGCCAAUGUGUUUCUACGUAUCUGGAUUAACCUUGCUUUAGGCACUAUUGCAUAGCCAAAUCCAACUUUUGAAAUUUUUUUUUAAUACCUAAAUAACCCAAUGGAUUUCAAAUCCUUAAAAGAAAAAGGAAAAAAAAAAAGGUAGCCCAUGUACUCCAACUAGCCUUUUGUAUAUUAUUUUAUUGAAUUUUGGUGUCCAUAAUUUGCAGGGUUAUUUAUUUAAAUGGUCCUCAAACUUAUACUCUAGUUGCAUUUUGGUACCUCAACUAAAUUAUUUGUUCAAAUGAUCCACCAACUCUUUAUUAAUCGAUGCACUGGUCCUACCAUUACAUUUUCUUUUAAAUUUAGUCAUGUGAGUAGCACAUGUUACAUUUGUGAGGGUAAAUAAGACUUUUGACAACUAAAAAAAUUAAAAUAUAUGAUUAAAAAUUAAUAAAAAAUUCUUUAUUUUUAAAAUUAAUAAAACAACAAAAAGUAACCCACAAAAUAAAAUAAAAUACACCAGCCCACCCAACCCCACUCCCAUCUCAUCAACCCAACCCCUAUAUUUGACGGCAAUAUUGACAGAAUGUAAUGGUAGGACCAAAGUCCCGAUUAAUGAAGAGUAGGUGGACCAUUUUAAUGAAUAAUUUAGUUGAAGGACCAAAAUGCAACUCAAGUAUGAGUUUAAGGACCAUUUGAGUAAAUAACCCUAAUUUGCAUUAUCCAUAUAUCCUUUAUAAGGAGGCACAAGUGGGCUCUAUUUUUUCAUUUGGGUCAUUUUGAUCUAGGCUCUUUGUAGCCUCUAGUGGAUUAUAUUGGGUCUUGGGCAUUAGGGUUUUCAUUUAGAACUUCGACCCCUUUAUUCAGAUUCCAAGAGUAUCAAUGUUUGUUAACAGGGUCUAGUCUAGUGGAUAAGGACCUUGAUUUGCAAAUUAGAGAUCUCAAGUCGGAACUCCCAUGACAUCUUGGUUGUGUGUGUACAUGUGAGAAACCCCCUCCCUUUAGUUUAGACUGUCGCUUGUACUUUAAAAAAAAGAGUAUUAUUGUUUGAGUAGCUUUCAUUUAGGUACUCAUAUCCUCCCAUGAUUGCCUAUAUCCCAUUUUUUUCAAUUGAUGAAUAGCGAUGUGUGUAUAUGUAUGUCGGUUGUUGUCUGUGGGUUGGAAUCUAUUAAGGUGGUCGUAACUUGCAAGCAGUCUGACAGUUAGCCUUAGUCAAAAUAUCAUAAAUAAAAAGUAGAUUUUGUUGAAUUUUCAAUAAAAAAAUUUCCAAUUGGAAAAAUUGGCCUAAAAGUUAGCCCCUGUCAUUUCUUAUUCAUGGAUAUGUGCCUGUGCGGUUACUGUGUUUUCUCUUUAUAUUAAUCUUUUUUGGGUAUUUUUAUUAGCUCUUGUGACUUAUGGUCUUUGUGUCAAAUUUAUGAAUAUAAUUAUAGCUUUUCUCUAUAGUUUUACUUGUAGGCAUCAAGGUUGCCUCAAAUGGUACUUCUCAAGAACCUUGAGCAAACCAAAAGACCAUUUCUCGAAUUAUGCGUGUCCUUCUUAUCAUUCCAAUUUUAUCGAAUCUUUACUUUAUAUUAGGUAAAGAAAAGAUUGAAAUUUACGAAACUGGAGAAAAUAAAUACUGCAGACUAAAUUUAGAUCUAGAAAGACUACCAUGAAAUGAUAAAUAUAAUGAUAAAUAUAAAAUUCAUGUUUUAUUUAUUGAUAUUGAAAUCGAAUACAGCAUUAUUCGCUAAUCAUGACUCCAAAGUGUAAGCCAAAGGCCUAAUUUGGUAUGAUACAAAAGAAAAAACUGAAAGCCACACCGCUCAAUAAACAGAGAAAGCAGGGCACAUGUUGUUGCCCCUAUAGCAUGCAGUAUAUAUAUGUAUAUAUUUUAGUUGUAGGCAUCGGGGUUGGCCACAAGAUAGGUCUCAAUAAUCUUGAACAAAGCAUGGACCUUCUCUUUGCCGGCCUUAACAUGCUCUUCCUUGAUCUCAACAUCACCUUUGGUGUGGUAGCUGCGGGUGUUCUUUAUGAUGGAACCUCCAUCUGCACUGCAGAAUGCAGAUGCCACCAACUUAAUCUCGUAAGAGAUUUUCUCUAUUUUGUCUGAAAGACAGACAAUAUAGGUGGAAAGUAAACAAACAUUCCCCAAAGUUAGUCUUGUUGAUGGUUCCAACUCCUCCAUCUCCUUCAACAAUUUCAGCACUUUUAACUGCUUGUGAAUGGGACUAUGCAGAGGGGACCUUGCACUCAAAGAUUGCCACACCUGUUUCAACGACUCUGUUUCCAUUCUCUUGCAAUGCAGAAUUGCACUAAUCAGAAGGGAACAGCGCUGUACGAUUCCAUACUCGAACAUGUCAAUUUUCAAUGUCGAUGAAGACGAGCCUGCUAAGUUUGUGCCGAGCCGAAAUGGGCUGAAGAGAGUUAACAGAGUUAAAAUAAUGUUACGUGGUGUGCCAUAUGUCACAAAACUAAGGAGGAAACAAGCGGCACAAGGGAUUUGGAAACAGGAAAAUAAAGCCUCCCGUAGAAGUUGAUUUGAAAAAUUCAACUUAUUCCAACUGGUGUGCUAACUUAAUAAUAUAAUAAUUGGCCAAGAAAACUUAAUAAUAUCUUGAUUUCUAACAGGAUGUUCUAAAUGCCAAGCGAUAAUCUUGAAUGCACAUGGAAUGUCCAAAAUCUAAUGGAAAGUUCCAAAGUACAUGUGCAAGGAAUAUAUUCAGAGUUCUAAUUUCCAAAAUACAUCUAAUGUUAUUAUUCACAGUUUUGGGCAUAAAAGACAAGCAUGAAAUUUGGUGGGACUGUUUGCAUCAUUAGAUGCUUCAAAGUUACAAAUCAUAUUUUGGAUAAUUAACACAGUGGGAUAGAAAGGACGAAACAAUAUUUUUGUUAGAGCUGCCAUGCUUCAACUCUGCCUUCUGUUCUGUAUCUUCUGCUUCAAAAUGUCCAUUAAUUAUAAUUUUUUACUUCACUUAAGGAUCCAAUCCAACUGUAACAUGUCUUCCAAUUUAAACUUUCCAUGGCUUCUCUUUUCAAGUAAUUUAUUUUACCAAACUGCUCUAAUCAAGUUGAAGUCAAAGUUUACUCACUUUAUAUUUCUUUUUAUUAAGUCAUGUCUAUUUCAAAACUGUUAAGUUGAGACCAUAGUCCAAACGUGGGUUAGACCGGUUGAUCAAGGCGAUGUGUCUAUUCCUUUGUAUCCGAGUUCGUUUUCUCUCUUCAAAAAUUAGGCUAGUUUAGAAUACGGUUGUCAAAACAACAAAAUUGAGAAGAUUGAAAUUCACGGAAUUGAAGAAAGAAGAUACUGCAGACCAAAUUUGCAGAGACUACCAUGAAAUGAUUUAUAGAAAAUUUAUGUUUUAUUUAUUGAAAUUGAAAUCGAAUACAACAUACUCUUUAAUCAUGACUCCAAAGUGAAAGUCAAAGACCUACUUUGGUAUGAUAACAAAUAAAAAUAAAAUGAAAGGCCACACACACUGCUCAAUAAACAGAGAAAGUAGGACACAAGUUGUUGCCCCUAGAGCAUGCAGUAUAUUUCAUUUAAGGUUUUAGUUGUAGGCAUCUGGGUUGGCCACAAGGUAGUUCUCAAUAAGCUUGAACAGACCAGUUGCCUUCUCUUUCCCAGCCUUAACAUCCUCCUCCUUGAUCUCAACAUCACCUUUGGUGUGGUAGUUGCUGGUGCUCUUUAUGACGGAACCUCCAUCAGCAGAUGCCACCAACUUAAUCUCAUAACUGAUUUUCUCAACCUUGUCUGAAAGAGCAUCUCCUUCAACCAAAGUGUAGCUGUACACAAAGUUAUCUUUGUCAAGCCCGUCGAUCCGGUGCUUCACAUAGCUGUAAUGACUUCCUGUAAAAGGAGGAUUAUAAUUAGAAAUUAAGAGAUUAAUACUUUCAAGAUUUAUGUUAUUAAUUAGGCAAACAAGUUAAACUUAGAAGAGGCAAUGGCAGAAACCAACCUUCACCAAAGCUAAUCUUCUUGAUGGUUCCAACACCUCCAUCUCCUUCAACAAUUUCAGCACUUUUCACUGAUUGGGGAGCAAUCUUGGGGAUGAGGGUGUCAGCUUCAAGAACAAGGGCUUUGAACAAUCUUGGUGGGGGGAUGACUGAGGUGGACUCGUCUGAGUAUGUGAAGACACCCAUGGUGAUGAUUUUAGAGCUUAGAAAAUGAUCAAAGAAAGAUUGAGAUGUGAGGAAGCUAAGAGAAUGUUUGAUAUUGGUGUGAGGAAGUGUGAGCACCAGAGGUGGUAUUUAUAGGUAAAUGGGGAAAGGCCAGAUUUGUAAAAUGGCUUUCAUUAAUAAAGGAAUUUAGACAAGUUUAUAAUUUUCCAAUGGUUCUUGUCCAUGUGAAAAGGAAAAUAUGAUUUUCAAUGAAAUACAGCAAUAUUUUAGUCAAGGAAAUAAAGCUUCCAGUAGAUGUUGAUUUGAAAAAUUCAACUAUUCCAACAGGAUGAGGGUGUGCUAACUUAAUAAUAUCUUGAUUUCUAACAGGAUGUUCUAAAAUUAACUUGUCUGUCUAACAAGCAGAGUCUAUUCUGAAUGCACAUGGACUCUUUUCAUGAUCAAAUUCAAAGAAGCAUUGCAAGCAACUCAUAACUAAAACAACUUAAGAAGGAUUAGUUACAUCCUUUAUCUCUUUUUGUUGACUAAUCACAUAGAUAUCUGCUUCAACUCUGCCUUGUGUAUCAUCAUUAAUUACAUAUUUUACCUCACUUAAGGAUCCAACUGCAGAGAUUAUAUAAUAGUGUAUUGUGAUUGGCUCCCUAUCCCUUUCCUAGACGUAUCAUGUCGUCUAAUUUAGACUUUCCAUGGCUUCUCUUUUCAAGUAAUUUCCUUUACCAACCUUGCUGCUCUAAUCAAGUUGAAGUCAAGUCUAUACUUUAUAUUUCUUUUUCGUAAGUCAAUGUCAAAAUUGUAAAGUAAAGACCGCAAUGUACACGUGGUUAAGCCGGUUGGUUCUGCCCUUUUCACUCGAGAUGAUACUCUUCUCAUAAAUUAUAGUAGUUUAAAUUUUAAAAUAAUAAUAUUUAUAAAUAAAAAAAGUUGAGACCUUAGUUUGUUAUAUUUCGAAAUUCUCUACCCUUUCCUUUGGUAUUAUAAUUAAAUGAUUUUUGCUUUAUUAAUUGAGAUUGAUCAAAUACAAUACUACAAUUUAUCAUAACCCCAAAUGCAAGCCAAAGACUGCUCUGGCUUGACAGAAGAAAAAAGAAUGUGAAAAGGACGUUAGAUUUUUCAGUUGAUUGAAUGAGAAUAUUAUUGAGUCAGCAAACUCAGCACACCAGAACAUUCUAUGAAAAAAUUCCAGCUAGUUGUAAUAAGUUGGAAUUUUUAAAAUCAACUUGUAGAGGUGGCUUUGUUUGACUAAAAUAUUCACAUGGGAAACAACCACUGAACUUUAUAUCCAUUGGGCUCACUUUACACAUCAGACUCUUCACCCUAAACCUAUAAAUACCACCUCCAGUGCUCAUAGCUUCCAACAUCAAGUAAUACCUCGAAUUUCAUUCUUAUUUUUUAUCAUUUCCUAAGCUCUUAAAUCAUCAUCAUCAUCUAUCAUGGGUGUCUUCACAUACGCAACCGAGUUCACCUCAGUCGUUCCUCCUGCUAGGUUGUUCAAAGCCCUUGUUCUGGAUGCUGACAACCUAGUCCCAAAGAUUGCUCCACAAGCAAUUAAAAGUGCUGAAAUUGUUGAAGGAGAUGGAGGUGUUGGAACCAUCAAGAAGACUAGCUUUGGUGAAGGUUUGUUUACUUCCCACCAUUGUCUGUCUCUCUACUAAUUAACUUGGUUUUCAAGUUAAUAUGUAUCUUGAAAGCAUUAGUGUAAUAAUUUCUAAAAAGAUUGACAUUAACCAUCCUGAAAUUUUGAAAUUACAGGAAGUGAAUACAGCUACGUGAAGCACCAAGUUGACGCGCUUGACAAAGAUAACUUUGUGUACAACUACAGUUUGAUUGAAGGAGAUGCUCUUUCAGACAAAAUAGAGAAAAUCUCUUACGAGAUUAAGUUGGUGGCAUCUGCAGAUGGAGGUUCAGUAAUAAAGAACACCAGCAGCUACCACACCAAAGGUGAUGUUGAGAUCAAGGAAGAGCAUGUUAAGGCCGGCAAAGAGAAGGCCCAUGCUUUGUUCAAGAUUAUUGAGACCUAUCUUGUGGCCAACCCUGAUGCCUACAACUAAAACCAUCUAUAGGUGCAACAGUCUUGUGUCCUGUUUUCUCUGUUUCUUCAGCAAUGUGGCAUUCAAUUCUUUUUUCUUCUUUAUCAUUUGAAUUGCACUUUUGGAGUUAAGAUUGAAGAGUAAUGUUGUACUUAAUUUCAGUCCCAAUAAAUAAAUAAAACAUAAAUUUCAGUACUUCUGUUUUCCCCUUUUGAGUAAUUGUUACCAACUAACAGUAAACUGUUUUUUUAAUUCAAAACUAACAAUGACUGAGGAAGGCUAAGAUUUUAAGUGAAUCAAUUUUCUUGACAACAUGACGCUGGUGCAGUCAUAUCUUCACUUAAACGUGAAAAACCCCCAAAAAAUUUUUAUACUGAAAUGCUUUAAAAUGAGGCUGAGCACAAGGGCGGACUCGGGAAAUUUUAUAGGUUGGACUAAUAUCUUUUAAUGGGAGAUUUACCUUUUUUUUUUCUUUUUAAAAACAUGUUUACAUGGUUUUUUUGAUAAGGGGUUUACAUGGUUAAUUGGCUAUAGGCUAUAGGUUUUUUUUUUUAUAUGCAAAGAAAAUGAGUGGUAGCAACUAUUCUUCAAUUAAUAAUUUUUAAAUUUUAUGAGAGUACACAUAGACGUAGGGAGUGUAGAUACAAUUGCACAAUCACAAGCUACAAGCAUUCAACAAAACCAAGAGACAACUAGACUAUAUAAAAGCAGACAUGGUUAAGCCAGUUGUCAAAAUUGUAAAAUAAGGAUUUCUAUGUAGGCUUAUCUUUUGAGGUGCCAUUUUUUGUGAAAAUCCCACAUAAAAAAUCCACACUCCUAUAAAGGUGUUUAUAAACAAAGCCCUAUGAUGAUUUGAUAAGUGUGGUUAACAUUGGAGAGUUGGGCUCAUGGGCUUGGCUAUAGGCUCGGCUUUGAUUAAUAAUAAUUAUAUCAAUCAAAGACUAGGGCCUUGGGGCUCUUGGGAUCGGGAGAAAUUUAAUUAAGACACCUAAACGAAAAUAAGUAAUUUAAUGGGAUACUUUUUUUUCUUUUAAAUAUUUUUCCCCGAUUUUCGUUUAUCGAUAAGAGUAGUUUAAGACACCCAGAGUAAUUACCCGUACAAAAAAUACACAUAUUUUUAACAAAAGUUUCAAUAAGACACAAAUUAACGUGUAUAUAGUAUAGCCAUGCUCGGUUCAUUUUAAUUUUUUUGUAAAACUAGUAUAGCCGGUCGGCUGUACUCGGUUUUUCUGAAUUUUUUAAAAUAGUAUACCCGGGCGGCUAUACUCGAUUAUUCCCUAAUUUUUUAAAAAAAUAGUAUAGCCGGGUGGCUAUAUCUAUUUUGACACAUGGACGUCUGAUCGCAAGGGGGUCCACUUUUUUUACGUGUACAAGUAGUAUAGCCGCACGGCUAUACUCGAUUUUUUUUUUCUUAAAAAAUAGUAUAGCAGACCGGCCAUACUCGCUUUUUUCUUUUUUAAAAAAAAAAAUACCUCUCAUGACAAAAUAUCGUGGGUAGAGGUCUAUGCUGACAAAGGUUUGCCGGAUUAGACACCUCCUGACGAAAUUUGCCUAUGUCGACGAAAUAUUGUCUGCAAAGAUCUUCCAGCAAAUUUCGCCGAGAUAGACAUUUGUCGACGAACUUUCGUACGCAGAGAUUUAAAAAAUAAAUAAAUAAAAACUUAGUAUGUUUAGGUUAAUUAAUUUUUUAAAAUUUUAUUUUUAUUAAUUAAAUAUUAUCUUUGCCCAAUUAUUAUUUCUUUAAUGAAUAAUUGGUAUUAAGUAUUUUAAUUGACUUCAUGAAUUAUAUUACUCAAUAAAUAGUAAUUCAAAGUUUCUAUUUUUAGAGUAUAAUCGCGUGGUUAUACUCUUUAAAUAUAAUUUCAUAUUGCACCAACAACAAAAAUAAGGGUUUCUAUGUAGGCUUAUCUUUUGAGGUGCCCUUUUUUGGUGAAAAUCCCACAUCGAAAAUUCACGCUCCUAUAAAGGUGUUUAUAAAUAAAGCACUAUGAUGGUUUGGUAAGUGUGGUUAACAUUGGAGAGUUGGGCUAAUGGGCUUGGCUUUAGGCUCGGCUUUGAUUAAUAAUAAUUAUAUCAAUCAAAGACUAGGGCCUUGGGGCUCUUGGGAUCGGGAGAAAUUUAAUUCUUGGGAUCUGGAGAAAUUUAACUAAGACACCCAAACGAAAAUAAGUAAUUUAAUGGUAUCCUUUAUUUUCUUUUAAAUAUUUUACCCUGAUUUUCGUUUAUCGAUAAGAGUAGUUACCCAGAAUAAUUACCCGUACAAAAAAUACACAUAUUUUAAACAAAAGUUUCAAUAAGCUACACAAAAUCAACGUAUUAUACAAAUAAUUCUCACCUAUUAUUGAAUAAAAAUAAUAUAUAUUCAAAUAUUGUAAAGUGACCAAUUUUUAAGUUGUAAAGGGAUCCCUUUUUUUAUUUGUAUUUUAAAGAAAAAUUUUAUUUUUCGGAUUUUUUUUUCAAAAAUAGUAUAGCCGUGCGGCGGUGCUCUCUUUUUUCUAAUUUUUAAAAAAUAGUAUAGCCGAGCGGCUAUACUUAUUUUGACCCGUGGGCACCUAACCGCAAGGGGGUCUUUUUUAAUGUGUAUAAAUAGUAUAGCCGCACGGCUACACUCAUUAUUUGAUUUUUUUUGUAAAAAUAGUAUAGCCGGUCGGCUGUACGCCGUUUUUCAUCUUUUUAUUUUAUAAAUAGCAUAGCCGGUCCGCUAUACUCGCUUUUCCCUAAUUUUUUUCAAAAUAGUAUAGCCAGGCGGCUAUACGUAUUUUGACACGUGGGCACUUAACCGCAAUAGGGUCUUUUUUAACGUGUAUAAAUAGUAUAGCCGCACGGCUAUACUCAAUUUUUUUUUUUUGUAAAAAUUGUAUAGCCGGUCGGCUGUACUCGGAUUUUCCUUAUUUUUUAUAUAUAAAAAAAUUAUAAAAAAAUUAUAAAAAAAUUCUUCAGUUAGCCUAUCCCACCCCAAUCGCCCUCUCCCUCCCUCUCCCCACCAACCCCAACCUUCUCCUUUGGCGAAAUCCCAACAGUCAACACCAUGACCUUACAAACAAUUAACUCUCAUUCUUUAACCAAAGAAAAACUCUUCUUCUACUGCCAACGAAAAAAACACUCCCCUUCCUAUCACCCACAAAAAAAAAAAAAAACACAUUGAUUGCUCUAUCUAUUCCAAAAAAUGAAAACACAUUUGCUUUAUUUUAUUUUUAAUUUCAAAGACUGCAAGAGAGGUGUUAUUUGAGUUUGAAAUUAAAAGGAAAGAAGGAGACAAAGGAAGAAAAGGAAAUGGCCAUGGAUUUCUGUCAGUUUUAGAGUUUCCCAAAAGCUCAAAGUUGAUGUAAUUAUGGGACUACUUGAGCUUCAGAGUUAGAGAAGAAAGAAAAACAAUUGGAUUAUGUGUGAUUGAAAAUAAAAUUAGGGUUAUGAGUUUGUAAGUUUAGAUUUUCUUAUGGUUCCUAAUUUCUGAAGAACACAGGGAGAGAAAGAUGUUCACUUUGUUUUCUUUGGUGGGUUGGGUAUGAAGAUGGGUGUGGAUUUCGAACAAAAAGAAAAAGAAAAAGAAAAUAUGGGUUGGGGUGCAUGUGAGAGAGACUGAGGGAGUUGUUCUCAUUAGUCAUUUUACAAAGGGGUAAAUUUGUCUUUAAAAUUUUGAAAAUAAGAUGGGUAGGAAAAUAAGACAGAUAGAUGGAAAUAGCAGGACUCUAACUUUUAAAUUGUAAAGGGGUCCCUUUUAAAUAAUAAUAAUAAUAAUUUUUUUAAAAAAAAUAGUACCGCCACACGAUUGUACUCUAUUUUUUUCCUAAUUUAAAAAAAAAAUAGUAUAGCCGGUCGGCGAUACUUAUUUUGACACUUGAGCACCUAAUCGCAAGGGGUUCCUUUUUUUAAGUGUAUAUAUAGUAUGGCCGCACGGCUAUACCUGGGGUUUUUUUUGUAAAAGUAGUAUAGCCGGUCGGCUGUACUCAGUUUUUCCUAACUUUUUUUUUAAUAAAUAGUAUAGCCGGGCAGCUAUACUUAUUUUGACACUUGGGCGUCUAAUCGCAAGCGGGUCCACUUUUUUACGUGUACAAAUAGUAUAGCCGCACGGCCAUACUCGGUUUUUUUAAAAAUAAAAAAUAAAAAAUUCUAGCUGGUCUCCUGUACUCGGUUUUUUCUUCUUUUUUUUUAAAAAAACCUCUCUCGACGAAAGAUACCUCUGCCGACGAAAUUUGUUGGGAAAGGUCUCCGGCAAAUUUUGCCGGGAUAGACAUGUGCCGACGAACUUUCGUCGGAAGAGAUUUUUAGAAAAAAUAAAUAUAAACUUAGUAUGUUUAGGUUAAUUAAUUUUUUUAAUUUUAAUUUUUAUUAAUUAAAUAUUAUCUUUGCCUUAUUUUCAUUAUUAUUUCUUUAGUGAAUAAUUAGUAUUAAAUAUUUUAAUUAACUUCAUGAAUUAUAUUACUCAAUAAAUAGUAAUUCAAAUUUUCUAUUUUUAGAGUAUAGUCGCACGGCUAUACUCAUUAAAUACAUAUUGCAUCAACAAUAAAAAUAAGGAUUUCUAUGUAGGCUUAUCUUUUGAGGUGCCCUUUUUUGUGAAAACCCCACAUUAAAAAUCCACACUCCUAUAAAGGUGUUCAUAAACAAAGUACUAUGAUGGUUUGGUAAGUGUGGUUAAUUACCCAUACAAAGAAUUUAGCACUUUCACGUUUAAUAGUGUACAUGUACGUACGUAUUUUUCAUGUUUAAUACAUGUAUUUUUAAAAAAGUUUCAAUAAGACACACAAAAUUAACGUAUUAUACAAAUAAUUUUCACCUAUUAUUGAAUAAAAAUAUUAUAUAUUAAAAUAUUAUAUAGUGACCUAACUUUUAAGUUUUAAAGAGGUCCUUUUUUUUAGUUAAAAAAAAGUAUUUUUCUGAUUUUUUUUUUUACAAAAGUUUUUCCUUUAUUUCCCGUUUUUUCUAAAUGUCCAUCUUAGCAGUUCACACGCUAUAAAAGAAAAAAAAGAAACUACUAAAAUGGACGUCUAGAAAAAUACGGGCGAUAAAGGAAAACUUUUAAGACGACGAUUUAUCACACAUGCGCGAUUAAAAUAUGAAACUGUUGAAAUGGACAUCUAUAUAAAUACAAUUGCAAAAAAAUAUUUACGAAACUUUAUAAGUUGCGCGUAGUGCGUGUGAUUUAAAAAAAGACUCUCGCCUAAGCAAAAGUGUGUGCAUGGAGGCUAAUAUAUAUAUAUAUAUAUAUAUAGUACAACCAUUCAACUAUACCUGAUUUUAUUUUUUUAAUUUGUUAAAAAAAAGUAUAGCCGCGGCUAUACUCUGUUUUAUUAAUGUCUCUAAGAAAGUAGUGUAGUUGCUAAAGUCAUUCUAGAUUAUGUUUACACUAUUGUUUGGGGUCUUUCCAAGAAUGCUUCUGUUGGGGUCUUUUCCGUCGGAAGGCUCAUCCGGGCUUGUUGAUUCUUGGACCGUCAUAGAGUGGUGAAUCAAGCCUUCAUUGUCCCUUUCUGAGUUAGCAAGAAAUAGGCCUAAAGUAUCCCGAGGGAGAAGCAAGUCCUAGGGGAGUACUUUGUUCUUCUUUCAGCGACUGCGUGCUUUGUAUGGAUGUUUUCAGCCGCUUGACGAAGAGUAGAAGAUGGUGCAUUGAUGUUAAACAGACUUGGCAUGAGAGUUUGCUUUGUGAAUUAAGAUACUACUAGACUUGGCAUAAGAUGUUAGGUGUUUUAGAUAUGGGAUUGAGCUUUUUUGAGAGAGAGAGAGAGAGAAAGAGAGAGAAAGAGAGAGAGAGAGAGAGAGAGAGAGAGAAAGAGAGAGAGAGAGAGAGAGAGAGAGAGAGAGAGAGAGAGAGAGAGAGAAGAUGGGUGGCUUGAGUAGAUUUCCAGCAGCUUGACGAAAGCUUUGUCAGGCUCUUGGGUGGCUUACCAGAAGAGAAAAAAAGGGAAGAAAUAGAAUAAUAGAGCUUGAAAUAGAAAGUUUCCAGAGGUGAGUGGUGAUGCUUGCUCUCUCUGGAUGUGUUUAUGGGAGGGAGAGGAAGAAUAUGGAAGAACACGCCUUGAGAUUGAAGCUUCCAGCAAUGAGUAAGGGUGUUGCUUGCUUUGGCUGAGUUGAAGAUGACUUGCUGACGUUGAUAUGAGAUUAUAUGAGCUUAGCAUGAGAGCUUAGAGUGUGGGAGCUAAAGACCCACAAGUUUAGCAAAUGAGAAUGUUUGUGCUUAGGUUGGUGUUUGAUAUGCUUGAGUUUGGGUGUUAGGAAUUUAUUGUUUAAAGUUAUGGCUAUGGUGGUUUGAUUGUUUGGCUGUGAUGGUUGUUGGGAUGCUUAUAGCAGUCAAAUGAAUGGGGUUUCAAAGAGCAUGGCUAAGGAAAGAAAAACUUAAGACUUUGAAGGGUAUGGUGUUUAUGACAAUGAUUCUAGAGAAAUUUAUGAGUUUUAGAGGUGGAAGGAUAAAAGGAAAAGCUUGAGGCUUGAAAGCUAUAGUGUUUAUAGCUUGGAUGGGUAUGAGAAUGAAGGAAAAGCUUGGAGUUAUGGUUUGUGAGUCUUUAUAGGGACAAUGGAGGAUUUCAAUGACAGGAAAAUAGAAGAAAUGGUUGUGAUAGCUGAGAAAUAGCUGGGAUGGCAGCUGGAAUGCUUGCAGUGGCUGAAUGGAGGAAAGAAAGUGGUCUGGUGGUUGUUGAAUGGGGUUGAUGGCUAGGUGAAGCUAGGUACUAUAAACUAAUUAUUUCCUAUGGGUAAAAGGAAGCACUGGAGACUGUUUGUUUCCAGUGGGUAAUAGGAAGUGCUCGAAAAGGCUUGUUUCCAACGGGUAAAUCUAGGCAUUUGGAAAAUAACUAUUUCCUAUGGGUAAAAGGAAGUGCUUGAAAAAUAUCUCAUUUGCUCACCCACAUUGGAGAACUCUAAGUAAUGGACUUGGACUUUGGUGCUCCCAAGUAGCUAGCCCAAAGUCUCCAUUAUCUAAGAGCUUCUGUGGGCCUUGUGGACCUCCGUAACCUUCCAUAUCACCACCCAUCAUUCAAGCCCCAUAAACCACAUGACUUGAGUUCAUGUGAGCUUGAUAGGUGAUUGGCAUGAGAAAAAUGUAUUAUUAGUUUGGCAUGGCAUGUGCACUAUUUCUAAUUUAUUUAAUGAAUUAAAUCUCAAAAUGCAACUUGGAUUAACACAUGACCGACAUUAUUUGUUAUAUUGGGCUUUAAAUGUCUUUGGGCUUCCCGUGACUUCUUGGGCCUCAACAGCUUCUUAAGGAGGUAGCCAUUCUUUUGUCUUCUUUGUUGAUGAGUUCUCUAGAAGAGUAUGGUUGUGCAACAUGAAGCAUAAGUAUGAAGUCUUGAAGAUAUUCAUGAAGUGGAAGAAGAUGAUUCAAACUCAAAGUGGUUCAAAAGAUCAAGACUCUUAGAUCAAACAAUGGCGAUGAGUGUAGGUCUGAUCCUUUCUUGAAAGUUUGUCAAGAUAAGGGUAUUGUGAGACACUUCAUGGUUAGGGAGACACCGCAACAGAAUAGGGUGGCGAAACCUAUGAAUUAUACUUUGCUUGAGAAAGUGCAAUGUAUGUUGUCUAAUGCUAGUGUGGGCAAAGCGUUUUGGGAUGAUGCAAUUACUUAUGCAAGUCAUCUCAUUAAUCGAUUGCGUGUUGCAGCGAAAGAGGGCAAAACGCCUAUGGAUAUAUGGUCUUGUAAACCUUGUACUGAUUAUAAAUAUUUGCAUAUAUUUGGUUGUCCUACUUACUUUCAUGUCAGGGAAAGCAAGUUGGAUCCGAGAGCAAAGACAACUCUAUUUAUGAGCUUUAGCACUGGCGUGAAAGGAUACAGAUUUUUGUGUUCAAAUGUGAAGAAAUUUGUUGUGAGCAGAGAUGUAACUUUUGAUGAGACUACUAUGGUUAAUCAGAACAAGAAUGGAAGUGAAAGUGAUGCGACCAAGACCACAAGUGGUUCAAAGUAUGUGGAGUUACUGAAAACUCUAGUUGUUCCAAUGAAGUCUGAUGAUUCAGACACUAGUCCUACAAUUGAUUCUGAAGAUGAGGAUGAGAGAAAUGAAGAGGAGGCAUCUAUCCAAGAGCCUUCACAGUAACAAGAUUCUAUUGCAACUACUAUACCCAAAAAAGUGAUUCGAAAGCCUACUCAGUAUAAUGAUAUUGUGGCAUAUGCACUUCCAGUUAUUAAAGAUGACAUUCCUUCCACCUAAAGAAGCAAACAGAAGUUCAGAGAGUGUGGAGUGGAAGAAGUCUAUGGAUGAGGAGAUGAAAUCGCUUCAUAAGAUUGAAACUUGGGAACUUGUUCAGUUACCAAGGGGAAAUAAAGCAAUUGGAUGCAAAUGGGUUUAUCCAAGAAGAUGGAAUCUUUGGGUAAAGGAAAUGUAAGAUUCAAAGCUAGAUUGGUAGCAAAGGACUAUGCUCAGAAGAAAGGCAUUGAUUACAACGUGGUAUUCUCUCAUGUUGUAAAGCCUUCCUCUAUUCGUAAUUUGUUGGCUUUGUGCAGUUUGACCUUGAGUUGGUUCAACUUGAUGUCAAGACAACAUUCUUACAUGGUGAUUUAGAAGAAGAGAUUUAUAUGUCUUAGCUACAAGGUUUUGGUGUUGUUGGAAAAGAAAAUUAGGUUUGCAAAUUGCGAAAAUCAUUGUAUGGUUUGAAGCAGUUUUCAAAACAAUGGUACAAGUGAUUUGAUCGGCUCAUGGGCCAAGGUACACAAGGAGUCAAUAUGACCAUUGUGUCUAUUUUCGCAAGCUACAAGAUGGAACCUUCAUCUACUUGCUUUUAUAUGUUGAUGAUAUGCUUAUAGCAUGUAAAAGCAAAGUGGAGAUUGAAAAUUUGAAGAAUCAGUUGAGUAAUGAAUUUGAGAUGAAGGACUUGGGAGAAGCUCGGAAGAUACUUGGAAUGGAAAUUGAACAAACCAAAGGGUCAUUUCUCGAUUUAUGCAUGUCAUCCUUAUCAUUUCAAUUUUAUCGAAUCUUUACUUUGAACUAGUAAAUUUUCAUUUGUAAAGACCAGCAACUGAUUUUUGCUUUAUUUAUUUAGAAUCAAAUCAAAUGGAAACAUUACAAUUUAUCAUAGCCUUAGGUGCAAGCCAAAGCAGCUCUGGCUUGACAGACAAGAAAAAGAAAAGGAAAAAUGACAGCCACACCAAUUUAAUGACAGAGAAAGCACACGCAGUAUAUUUCAUUUAAGGUUUUAGUUGUAGGCAUCUGGGUUGGCCACAAGGUAGUUCUCAAUAAGCUUGAACAGAUCAGUGGCCUUCUCUUUGCCAGCCUUAACAUCCUCUUCCUUGAUCUCAACAUCACCUGUGGUGUGGUAGUUGCUGCUGCUCUUUAUGAUGGAACCUCCAUCAGCAGAUGCCACCAACUUAAUCUCAUAACUGAUUUUCUCAACCUUGUCUGAAAGAGCAUCUCCUUCAACCAAACUGUAGCUGUACACAAAGUUAUCUUUGUCAAGCCCGUCGAUCCGGUGCUUCACAUAGCUGUAAUGACUUCCUGUAAAAUGAGGAUUAUAAUUAGACAUUAAGAGAUUAAUGCUUUCAAGAUUUAUGUUAUUAAUUAAGCAAACAAUUUGGAAGAGGAAAUGGCAGAAACCAACCUUCACCAAAGCUAAUCUUCUUGAUGGUUCCAACACCUCCAUCUCCUUCAACAAUUUCAGCACUUUUAACUGAUUGGGGAGCAAUCUUGGGGAUGAGGGUGUCAGCUUCAAGAACAAGGGCUUUGAACAAUCUUGGUGGGGGGAUGACUGAGGUGGACUCGUCUGUGUAUGUGAAGACACCCAUGAUGAUGAUUUUAGAGCUUAGAAACAGAUCAAAGAAAGAAUGACAGUGUGAAAGGAUUAGAUGAUUGGCAGGGAUGAUAUUUGAUGCUGGAAAAUGUGAGAAAUGGAGGUGCUAUUUAUAGAUUGAGGCUGAAGGUCGGGCUGUGUGAAAUCUGAGCUGUCUAUCAAAGACUUUAAGACUUUGAAAAUGAAAGUGAAAAGGACUUUAGACAGCACACCAGUUGUGUUGUAGUAUUCUGAUCAUCAAAAAGGCCAAUCAGAAUGGACUGUGUACGUAGACAUGUGUUUUAGAACAUUCUAUUAGAAAAUUAAUUAGCACAUAAGCUGAUUGUAAUAAGUUGGAAUUUUUAAAAUCAACUUGUAGAGGUGGCUUUCUUUGACUAAAAUAUUCACAUGGGAAAUAACCACUGAAAACUUGUCCAAACAACCUUAUAUCCAUUGGGUUCACUUCACCCUUAACCUAUAAAUACUCCCUCUGGUGCUCACAUUUCCUCACACCAAUAUCAAUCAUUCUCUUUUAGCUUCCUCCACAUUCAUUCUUUCUUUGAUCAUUUUCUAAGCUCUUAAAUCAUCAUCAUCACGGGUGUCUUCACAUACGAAACCGAGUUCACCUCUGUCAUUGCUCCACCUAGGUUGUUCAAAGCCCUUGUUCUAGAUGCUGACAACCUCGUCCCAAAGAUUGCUCCACAAGCAGUUAAAAGUGCUGAAAUUGUUGAAGGAGAUGGAGGUGUUGGAACCAUCAAGAAGACUAGCUUUGGUGAAGGUUUGUUUCCACCAUUCUCUCUCUCUGUCUACUAACUUGGUUUUCUAGUUAAUAUGUAAAAUGAAAGCAUUUGUGUCUUAAUUUCUAAAAAUGUUGACAUUAACCACCCUCAAAUUAUGAAAUUACAGGAAGUGAAUACAGCUAUGUGAAGCACCAGGUUGAUGCGCUUGACAAAGAUAACUUUGUGUACAGCUACAGUUUGAUUGAAGGAGAUGCUCUUUCAGACAAAAUUGAGAAAAUCUCUUAUGAGAUUAAGUUGGUGGCAUCUGCAGAUGGAGGUUCCAUCAUAAAAAACACCAGCAACUACCACAUCAAGGGAGAUGUUGAGAUCAAGGAAGAGCAUGUUAAAGCUGGCAAAGAAAGGGCCCAUGCUUUGUUCAAGGUUAUUGAGACCUAUCUUGUGGCCAACCCCGAUGCCUACAACUAAAACCAUCUAUUAUAUAUUCUACAUGUUAAGGGCAACAAUCUUAUGUCCUCUCCUUUCUCUGUUUGUUCAGCGGGGUGGUUUUCAAUUUUCUCAUACAAAAGCAGUCUAUGUAGUUAUGAUUAAAGAUUGUAUUUGAUUACAAUUUCAAUAAAUGGAACACAAAUCAUUUGAUAGCUUUUUCCAAAUUUGGUUUGCAAUGUUUCCCCUGAUUUCAUGAAUUCCACAUCGAUCGAUGUUAAGUGUCCGGGGCUAACUUAGCCAAAAAUCAGAAUAUAGAAGUAUAUCUUUUAAAGAUAGAACAUUCGACCCAAAUCAAUUAGCAAUGAGUUGAGAGGUUCAACAUUUUCUUUACGUAAAUGCAAGAUAUAAAAUACCCCAUCUAGAGACUUUGAUUCUUUGGUUGGCAAGGAGGAGAGGCAGAUUAGCUACUCUGGACGGGUUCAGCUAUUUAUAAUGGUCUCACUGCUCAUGCUUGGCUACCUGUUUCCCUUUGGUACCUUUGUUGUUCUUUGUUUCUUUACAAAUAUAUCUGUCAAGAAAUCAUGCUUAAAUUUGUUUCUGGUUCUCCGUUGUGUCAUGUUUGUGCAGAUUUCUGUGAGUUCUUUUUGGACAAAGAUUUCUAUGAGUUUGAUUGUCAGUUUUUAUUGUACAAUAAAGCACGGAUAUAUGACGUUCAACGAAAUAAAAAAGUGAAGUAACAAAUUGGCAUUACCAAAAGUGCAGUAAAAGCCACAGGCAGAAAAUCCAUAGAAAGGCCCCAAUAAGCUGGGCUUUGUACUUUGUUUAUCUUCAGAAAGACAAAAUUACAAUGGCCCAAUUGGCCCAAUUUAGAAAAUAAGUUGAUUCGAUCCAAGAGGAAAAAUUGGUAAGAUCAAACAAAUGUUUUAUUUUAUCAAUGGGGUUCUUGGUUAGAUUGGUUCAGGUCUUAGGUGUGCUCCUAAGUAAUUUUGGAUUUAAAUUCCCAUGGUACUCGUGCCUCUCAAGACCCUCUAAGUAGAAUUCGAAAGCCUUUUAAAAUAAUUAAAAUUCUAAAAGUAAAAAAUUGGCUAAAAUCUUAACAUGUCCAAAGUUUCCCUGAAGAAUUGACCAUAUUUUCAAUUGGAAACAUUUGCUGGAGAUACAAUUAGAUAUAUUUAGUCAUAUACCAAUUCUUAGCUAAAAUUAUAAAUAAACUCUACACAAUUUAAUUUUUAUAAACAUACUCAAAAAAAACCCAAAAAAUGACAGCUGGACUUAUUGAAUUUAAUUUUGAUUAUUAAAUUACUUGGAUGCCCUAUUGAGUGUUUUGGGCUUUUUUAUGAAGUUUUGGAGUUGGGUUUGUUUUAAGAAAUCAAUGGCAGUUUUGUAAUUUAAAAGAAGUUAAAAACUUUUUUGUUAUGUUGUAAAUGAACUUUGGUUGUGUUUCUAAAGUCCAUUUCAUAUAGGGUUUUUUUUUUAAUUAUUUGGGCUCCUAUAUUGGGUAUAAUAGCAAAUCUCCCUAUUGAAGGAGAUGAUAAGUUUGUCAAAGUUGUCGCUAUGUACCCAUUAAGCACAAUACAGUACGGAAGACCACCAUUGUGACAAGUAUUGGGUACAUAGCGACGACUUUGACAAACUUAUCAUCUCAUUCAAUGCAGAUAUUCAGUCAUUUUCUCAAGUCUUUUUGGUCAUUUGCUAAACCCUAUCAAAUUAAUUGACUUUUUCAAGCCAUUUGUGGACAAGUACAUUUAGCAAUUAACAAAAUCUAAAAUUCUUUCAUAUUGAGUGCUAUAAUGCAUGGGAUCAAAAGGAAGUUAUAAUUUAUUCAUCUUUUCUAUUGAGAGGGACGAUAGUAUACUAGAUUAACGCACACUACACGGAUACUAAGACUCUAACUCAUGAUAUUUCUUGGAGGGAGAAAUUGCUACAAACCACUACAUUAGUGGGUCUUUUGUGAAGUUAUAAUUUGUAAUUCAAUAAAUUAAUAUUGUUUUUAUUCUAAGAAGCAGCAUUACUAGUUGAUGUGAUCAAAAAUCCAAUUUAUAAUUUACUCAAUAUCUGAAAAUAUAUUACAUUGAAUGUACUUGGACAGUUUGAUGACCAAAUUAGCAGAUAAUUGCAAUCUAUAGCAAACUCUUGGCUGAUUAUGGCGACAUCUUUGAUUCAUAACUUUAUUAAUUUUUCUAGUAGAAUUGCUCCUAGAUAUAUAUACAAUUCAAUUAACUUCUUUUUUGGUUCAUUAGUUAGGGUGGGGAGAGGAGGGAGUUUUUCUACAAUAGUGAUGUAUGUAUAUGUAUGAAGAAUAUAAAUUACUAUAAUAUAUGCACGUCUUUUUUGUAACUAAAUUAGGUUUCAUAUAUGUCAAAUUAUGAUUUACGAAAAAGAAGAAAGCGAUAAUUAUAUCAACACGAUAAUCAAGGUAUUGAUAGUAUCAAUAAUAUAGGUAACAUAUCGAUGUUGAUGUACAUCUUGCUCUAACUACAGGGAAACAUUAUCCCUUAUCACUGGCCCUGACGUAUUUGUGUGUACAUAUAGAUAAUAUAUAUUAUAUAUUCUCUUUAUUGGGAUGAACAUAUUCUUGAUGUCAGACCAAGAGAAAAACAUCCCUUUGAUGACCAUAUAUGUUGAACAUGGACUGUUUUUAUGGUACCAUUAGCUCGAUGUAUGAAUGAGGACGAAAUUUGGUCCCAAGGUGAUUGCAUCACCCAUCAACAGGCUUUGAUGUAAUAUGUUGUUACCAUUACUUUAUUUUAAAUUAAAAUGAUGGACGAAUUAUGAUCUGGAAAAUUAAUUUUUCAACUCAUUCAUGCAGCCCCACUACAAAGUGAUCCACUAUUUUCUGACUUGAUAAGCUUACAUUAACAUUUUCCUUGUUGUGUAAAUGUCGAUUAAGUUAGAUGGUCAAAGGUAUUAUGUCUGUUCCUUUGCACUCGAGUUGGAUCUCUUUUUCCCCUGUCAACGUAGGUCUUGUGAGUGAGACUUUUUCCAACCUCAAUAAAUGUUCGAUGAAUUGGGUGUGAGUUAGAUUUUGAUAUGUUACUAUCUGCGAAAAAAAAAAAACACUGCGGUUGAUCAAGACAAUAAGCAAUGAUUUUGAAACAUAGAAAAAUCAAAGGGAUCAAUAGCCAAUGGUGACGCCAGUUGCCAUUGCUGAUUAAUCAAAGCAAACCAACAAGUCUCUUGAAACCCCAAAGUCAGAGAAGGGGAGAACCGAAAACAUAUAAGUAAAUAAAUAAAUAAAACUUUGGCUACAUACAUAGAUAUCCUAUAAUUACCAAAUUUUAAUUGUUUUUUAUAUUUUUUUUAAUAAAAGGUGAGAAUAGCACAGGCUAUGUAUGAACAGUUCAUGAAGUUCUCCAGAGUUGUCUGUUUUUCUCUAUUUUCAUGUCAUGUACUUCUCUUAAAAAAUCUCUCGUUCUCAUAAAAACAAUGUGACUUUACAGUUUAUGUAUUGCAAAAACCUCCAUUUAAGGCUGAAUUUUUACUAUGUAUUCUGGAUUUUUUUCCCCUGAUUUCAAUUGAAUCCCUACCAUUUCGCAGAAAAAUAAAAACAAAAAUAAAAACAAAAAACAAUGUAAAUUUACCUUAACAUUGAUGACCGACAGUUCGAGUAAACUGAGACAUUGAAAAUUCAAAGUUGGAAGACCAUCUACAAACUCGGCUCCCCUCAUUCCCUCUUGAAUUUUUGUGUACUUCCAGAGUCUAUCAGACCGUUCAAAUUAUUAUUAUUUUUCUUUCUGGAGAUUAUUAUCCGAUACAAUUAAUUGUAGCACCAACUUGCAUAAACUGGUUGAUGAUCUACAGGGACACUCCACACAGCUGUGGCCUUAUAAUCUCAACCCCUGUGAUCUCUAUAAAUACAGCCUAAACCUUUCUCUUCUCUUCAUCCCAACAACUCUUUACUCUUCAAACAACUCUGUUUGUCCUUUAAACUCUCCCUUUGAUCAUUUUCCAACUCAAGGACUCAUAUCAUGGGUGUCUUCACGUACGAAACAGAGUUCACCUCUGUCAUCCCACCAGAAAAGUUGUUCAAGGCUUUCAUCCUCGACGCCGACAACCUCAUCCCCAAGAUUGCUCCAACAGCAGUGAAAGAUACCGAGAUC